ACCCCCAACCUCAAAAUUUUAGAUCCACUUGGUUUACCUUAAAAUUUUGGUCCAGAUUGAAGGAUAAAGAAAUGAUAACAAAUCAAUCCAUAGCUGGAAGUCAGCCUCCUGAGUGACAGGAGAGGAUGGUUACCCUCAGUCUCACAUCAAUAAUCAGGAAUCAUGUUUUCCCCCAUUCUUUUCCCCUCAAAGCAGCGUUCUUGAUUUAGAUUUAAGAACAUUUAUCAUAACCUCUCCUCAACAAAGAAGAGAAAAAUAAAGGUUGAUUCAUCGGUCAUAAUUGAAAGGUCAACUACCAACAAAAAACUAGAGAACAUCACAGAAAAGAUUUUGAGUUCUCAAAAAGAUCUCAUUUGGUGGCAGAUGAAGAUUUCCAUUAUCAAUCUUAACUGAAACAUCAAUCCCAAUCACCUGAAUCAAUAGACUGGGCCAUCUGAUUGUCUUGGGUGCAAUCCAAGAGAGCUUGGUAAAGGCUUGACAUUGCUCACCAUAAGAGCAUAGUGAAACUCCAAAGACUUGUUCAAGAGUUCCCAUCAAACGAAUUUCUGCAAAUGCAAAAAACCAGGUUCCACAAAAAGAGAGGAAUAAAAGCCAAAUUACAUUCUGUAUGAACCUUCAAAUAAUAAUGCAAACAAAUGGCACCAUUUUUGCAGUUAAGCAUAUCUUCAAGUCACUUCUGCAACUACAUAUUAUCUAUUCUACACACUUAUUUUAUUCAUAACUUCACUUAGCAAAUUGUCUUCUUCCUCACUGAACAAAUCUUUUAAAAAUAACAAAAAUAGUGCUCUUGCAACUAGUUUCAGAUUUGGAAAAGACAAGAACCCAUAUACAAAAAUAAGGAUAAGAAACAUAAGCAAUCAACUAGUUCCAUUUGGAUAUACCCACUCAUUACCGUAAACCAAACAUACAUAAAGCCCUGGAAAGAUCAUAACAAGUAUAAAUAUAUCCACUAGUCUCUCAAGAAUCAAUGAGUAUUCAUGCCAUAUUAUCUGAAAGAAGAUCCUGUUCUCAUCCAACUAGACAUAUUAAUCCAUUGCAAGUUUCAAGGGUUUAGCAUGUCAUCAAAAUAUAGAUCCAUUAUUAACCACAAUCUAUAUUACUUCAAUUCACUCAAGAACAAUGUGAGAGCAUCUAAAAUAAAUUCUUCCUACCCAAUUAAAUUAAGAAACUUAUUGUGGAUGCCACAUGGCAUAUGAAAAAUAUCUACACAAACCUUUUCUGAAAUGGUUGGGAACCCCACUAAAAAUACGGUGGAAUAUUCAGGGCUCUUACUCAUCAAAUAUAGACUAGAAAUGGAACAUAACGUUGCUUAACACCACAAACAAGAUUAUCUCAACUGGAAACCAAGUAUGGAGAUAUCACAAGCAAUUCAAUUUCUAAACAUUCUUCAACAGCAAGAAAUUAAAAUUUAACUAGAAAUAAAUAAAUGAGGACAUUAGAGAGAGAGAAAGAGUGUGUGUGUGUGUGUGCGCGUGUAUUUUUCCUUCCCACAAGGAACUAGAAAGUAGCAUUAGUUAAUACUUUUGCUACAAGUGGUAUCAUUAUUUCAAUAAGAAAAAGAGCAAAUUACCUCAUAUGCCCGACCCUCAACAGAAAAAACAGAUAAUGAAUAGCAGUCUGUCCUGAAAAAAGCAUGUGCUUCUUGAAUGUUGGGAUACAUGAAUAGCAGGAGAUGAUACAAACAUCAAUCAAAGCAACUCCAUAUGAGGGCCAAUUUGAGUAAAAUGAUACAAAUUCAGGAAAAAAAAGGAAUAGAUAUCUCACCGAAAUCAUUCAAUCCAUGACUAAAAGAUAAAAACUAUGUCUGUAAGGAGGCAUAUGUUCCAAGUUAAAGGAAUUAGAAGAACAAGGCCAAAAAGAGAAUUUGCUGAGGUUGUCAGGGAAGACAUGGCAGCUAAUAAUUUAAAUAAAUUUUGCAGCCCAGGUACAGAGACGGAAAAGAUCUGUAUAGCCAACCAUAUGCUUUUGGGAAUUGAGACAAGGUUUUAGAUUUUAAUAAAUUGAAUAUCAACAUGAUGAAGUCACAUUUUUUGUAUUAAUAGAAAUGUUUACUUUCUUAAUUCUCAACACACUAUGAAGAAGACAAAAAUUUAAGGUAAAAAUAACUGCAAGUUCCUCAUCAAUGUCAGCUUCCAUGACACAGCAAAUCCAAAUUGUAUCAGAAAAUGGAUACCAUAAAAUGGUUACUGUUUUAUAGCUAAAUCAUUUGGUGUUUAAAACAGGAUUUCAUAUGCCACAAGAAGAGAUGCUUUGAAUCAAAUAUACUUUUUCUACAUAAGAAAGAUGAAUAUCAGGAUGAUAUACCAGUUGCACAAAAUUGCAAUUGAAUUAUAAUGCUAGGUUUAACUAGAGAGACUUUUAAAAUAUUUCUUCAAGUAUCCAUUAUAUAUUGAAAUAGAAAAGAACAAGUGACAGAGAAAAUAUGACAGCGCCGUACUAAAUGUAGAACAUUGCUAAACCAAGAAAUCCACUGGAUCCUAACAAGUGUUUGUGAUGCAGCAUAUCUGAUAAUCUACCUAUCAUAAAAAUUAUACGAAGAGGAUAUCCACCAAAACAAAAACACAUAAAAAGGAUUCCACAUUAUACCCAAAAAGGUCAGCGACCUGACUGAGGAUCAUGGGCUUGUCAUUUGUUGAAAUUAUAACUUCAUGCAUCAGCCUACAGAAUAAUGAAAAGUAUUGUUAAAAGGACAAGUGGUGAUAUAAAUAAGAGAUAAGAAUGUUUUCCAAUACAGUUGACCAAGAUGUAUCAUGUGCAAAAAGCCAGGAUAUAUUGCAUCACAUCUGUGGUCAAUCAUUUCAGGUCAGUCCCACUCAGGACUAAACUAUGUGAGUGCAGACUGUACAGUAGAUGAUAGACAUUUUUUGUCAAAUUGUCCUCACAAUAGCCCAGUUUCUGCAUAAAAUAUGUGAAAAAAUGAGUUUGCAUCAUCAGCGGCUUACUCCUCAGGGUUGUGGCCCUAUUCUGCCCAGGGCCUCUCUUGUGGCAGCACCCAUAGGGAUCAUGGCUUAAUGGAGACCUGAGCCCAUCUUACAGUGGCCAUCCCAUGGGUUAUGGACUAACUGGAGCCAUGUCCAGUUCCAUCUUCAGCUCCCAGUUGAAGAGUGAGAAUAUCAAAGACAAAACAUUAUGCACCCUCCUGUUUGGAAGUGUACACAUACACUAUACAUUUCAUUUGUAUGGAACUUGAUGUGUGUCAUCUUUUCAUUGUGUAACUAAUUUCACCCAUAAGGUGAAGCAUGAUCUGAGAACCAAACAUCAAACACUGAAAAUGUUGAGACUAGUUUGAAACACUACAUCAUACAACCAGUACCACAAGCUACUACUAGGGAAAAUGAGAAAAGAACUCCUAAUCAAAUACCAAGAUAUUCAAAGAUGCUUACUCAGAAGAGAGUAGAUUGGCAUCCCCGUCACUUUCUCCAUCUUGAACAUGUGAAUUUCUGGCUUCAACCAUAACUUUGAUAUCAGGCAAAAACCAGAGGUAGAUGGUGGAUGAAUGCUGAAAAAUAGGGAGAUAGCCACAAAAACAAAAAUCAAAUUUUAUGGUGUCAGAAAUGAACAAUUUUAAAAGACAGAAGAAGUCAGUACAAGUUCCCAUCUAAGCGGGUAUCAAUUCUUAGUAUAGAAAUACAAUUAGUAGAAAGUGCCACAUCAACUAAAUGAAGUAAACCAAAACCAGCAUAACUUAAGAUGAAAACCAAGUUAAAUUUUAAACAUCUAUGCGGUAACAAAUAAGAACCUACUCAGAAUCCAAUGCAGCUAUAUCUUUAAGUAUUUUAUUCACCACCUUUGUGGCCUGGCACUUAUACCUCCCCUGCUAUGGACAUUCAUUCCCAAUUUCUAAAUUCAGUUUCAACUCAACCAGAGUGAACAGUCCCCUAAUAAAAUGAACCUUAUCCAUCAAAAAUCUUCAUAUUCCAAGCAGACGCAUUCCUCAGAUUCAGCUUAUUUAGGUGGCCAAUUCAUAUCUCAUUAUACGCCCACUCAUUGUUGGAACAAGGGUCCCCAAGAUGUGAGCUCCAAAGUUGCAAGGCAUCUCAACCUUAGCUGACAAGAGCUUCUUAACCACAUCUUGCUCAAUUAACAACUGCUAAACUCUUGCCAAGAAAGUGAUCAUGCAAAAGGAUGAAGCGAGAGUGUUACCAAGUACUAUCAUAAGAAGCCAUAUCAUGGUGACCGCCAGGAGGCAUACUGUGGGUUUCCAUCUCAACCUUGUUCUAAAAAACACACUCCCAAACAAUAAAAACCAAAACCACAAACGGCAUUAUGUAAUUGUAAAAAACACAAUUCCAAACAGUCCUUCAACCAGUAAAAACAAAACACAAAACCCUUUUUCUCAAAAGAAAACUUCAUUCCACCGAGUGCACAGAAACAAUGAACUGCCCAGUCUGAUACCUAAUGCCCAUAUUUUUAUCGCCACGCCCAUCACCUCCCAUUUCCACAGCGCAAGAUGCCACAGAAUUUGCUUCCUUAAGACAGGUAUUUAACACUGAGAACCACAUAUUCUAUGGCUAAAACAAGACUCAGCCAUUCUGCAAUUGUUAAUACACUGCACUUGUUUAGAACAUAUUCUUCUGGUAUAUCUUCAUCUAUGUCAUCCUCCUCAUUGUCAUCUUUUCUCAAUAAACUUGCAGGUGGGUACAUCAACCUUGACUGAGUUGUCAUCCUCACCCGCCUUGAGUUUCGCCAAAAAGUUACAAUGGAAGUAGAAACCAACACAUCUUCUAGGCACCAGCAGCUUUCAUGCCCCAUUGAUGGACCACUCCUGGCUUGUAGUUGAUCAUGUUCAUUGGUCGAGGCCUUUGAUCUCAACAAGACCUCAUUUGGUGGAAGAUGAAGAUUUCCAUCAUCAAUCUUGACUGAAACUUCUCUCCAAUCACCUGAAUAAUGGAAUGAGCCAUGUGAUUGUCUUGGGUCCGAUCCAAGAAAGCUUGGUAUACCCUUGACAAUCCUUACCAUGAGAGAUUAUUGGAACUUCAAAGACUUCCUCAGGAGUUCCCAUUAAAGGAAUUUGUGCAAACCAUCAGGUUCCACACAAAGAGAGCAAUAAAAGAAGAAAGAUAGCAGAGAGAAAAGAGUUAGUGGAGAGAUGAAAGGGAUAAAGCAGAGAGAAAAGUGUGGGUGGAAAAAUUACGCCAUUUAAAGCCGCUAUUAGCAAAGUAUCUAGACUAUAAAUAGCUGCAUUUGAUACUAAGAUAAGCGGUAACAGUUGAAACUGAAGAAGAAAGAUAGGAUACAAUUCUGUAAAUCAAAACCUCCAUUAACAAGCUGUGGACAACGCGACAGAUGAUACCAGAGAGUUCAACUACAAUAUGCUCCUGAUUCCCUAGGCGUUUGAGUCUAAAGCCAAAGUUGAUUCUCAAGAAUUACUAGUUGGGUUUCUAUAUGCUACGAAAAGACACUUCUCAUUGCCACAUCAGAAACUGAAAAUUAAUUAAAAAAAAUGAAUAAAUAGAUCAAAUUUUAGUAAGGUGCCAAGUCUUUGGGGAAGGAGAAGUCAUUUCAAAAAUUAUUUUAGAAAAAAGGGUAAUGUCUAUAAAUAUGUAUCAUAUGAGUGUGCGUGUGGUAGAUUUCUUCAAGUGAUAUGAUUAAAUAACUUCAUUGCAAUAUUUAUAAUUGCCUUCCCUUAAACAAAAAAUAAAUAAAUAAACCUCAAUAGGGAGACAAAGCUGGCAAUUGUCCGUGUUAAAUGUAAAGAGCAUUAAAAAGAAUCUAAAAACAUUCUGUGCUGAACAAUUGUAUGGUUGGCUACAUAUUUCAUGGAUGGAAUUAAAACUACAAGAAAUGUUAAGAAACUAUACAACAGGCUUCAUAAUUAUUCCACCAGAGUUGUCUUGCUGGCAAAUCUUGGAAGACUGGCUUUCGCUCAAUUAUAAUAGGUUAUCUCACAACCAGGCAAAACCUUACUCCAGUUUUAUUAUCAUAAAAAAAAUAUUUACCAUGGAUAAUCCCAGGUCGACCAGCAGGGAGCCCUGACAAGAAAGUUUGAAGCUAUCUGCUGUUCUCAGAUGAGCAGCACACCCCAGUAGAUAGAAAUAAGGAAUUUAACAGUUAGAAAGCACAUGUGAGGAAAUUUCGCAUGAAAAAAAGAAUGCUUCCUGUUCUUCCACAUGAGUUUCCCACCAUCAUUGGAACUCAGAAAUAUGGAUUUUCAGUUCAUAAAGCCAGGAACUCAAAAAGGCUUGACUAAAAAGAUACAUUGUGAAUCCCAAUACUGUUGCCCAUUUUUAGCAUGUUAUUUCUAAUAAAAGUACAGCGUAAUACUGUAAGCAAACAAUCAAAUACAUUUCCUUCUUUGUCUUUUCAUUUGUUCAACGGCUAUGAAACCUGAACCAUAAUGCAAAUCAUGGACAAUUCAAAUCCAAUUUGAGAUCCCACCAGUUCAAAAUGCCCCAUAUUUAGGCUUAGAUCACCUAACAAUUUUCUUCCCAGAAAAUGAAGUUAUUUGGAAUUAACAACUGAAGCAAGAAAAACAAGGAAGUCCUAUAUAAUUUGAAAUGUCAAAACAGGAUUCCAUAUAUAAAUUGAAUAUAAGGUAGGAGCACAUGACUCACGACAAAAGUGUUAAACACAUUAUCUACAGCAUCCUCACCCUAGUGGCCACCUGUUUGAGAGCAUAGAUAAAAUUCUCCUAGAUAGAUUUCUCCUUCUGCCUUUUCCCUCUUCCCUCUAAGAUCUCUCUCUUUUUUUCCACAACCUGUUCAAGAUCUUGUGUCAGUACAGGAAGAUGCAUAAUAAAGUAAAAUUUGGAAGUUUCUAAAAUCUUCCAUACCUUGCUAGCUAUCUGCUGCAAUAUCUCCAUAAUUUCAGUGAAUUCAGGUCUUAAAGAUGGUUCCUGGUGCCAGCAUCUCUUGAUCAAUUUUACAAGUGAUGGAUAAGUGUGACUCGGAAUAGUAGGCCUUAGACCCUAAAAUGCAUGUCAACACAAGUGAUGUCUCUUAUUUCAAGGAUUCAAACAAUUCAAUCAGCACAUCAUCAAAUUGAUUUCACAGAAAAGAUCGGUACUUGUAGACAUUAUAGGCCUUUUAGUUCCAUUUGGCAUGAGACCAAAGCAAGUCAUUUCACAGAUUCUAGGUAGAGAGGGGUGCCCUUAAAUAAAUGUUUAAGUACAUGUAUUUUUUAUCCCCUACUUGGAGAGGGAAGUUCUAAGAAGAUCUGUAUUAUUCUUAGAGCCUAAACACCAUGUUGCUUUCACCCAAGUCCGUUUCUAGUUAUGAGCAAUUGGUAGAGUAAGAAGGUAUAUUUUCUCUUUUUCCUCAAUGUUAAAUUGCCCAUGUAAAUUAUAAAUCAUGCCAAAUAAUUGCCAAAAGAAACAUCUUAAAAAGAUGUAACAUCCACUAAUUGCCUUUUCACAAGACACUAACCCCCUUGAUUUGUCCCAGCAGGUUAAAUACUUGUCUAGAAGCAUGUGUGCAUUUCAAAAGCAAUGCAUUCUUAAUCCUGAGAAUGAACUUCUGUUUUCUUCCUAUUUUGCUCCACGAGGAAAGGAAGGGGAAAAAAUAUACACAUACACCCAACCAAUAUAUGCAGCACAAAGGUUAACAUUCUUAUUCUUAUCCAAUGUUUGAUGGAGGAAUACCUUCUGGACCACACCAACUGCAGCUUGUAAUGGGGUUAAGUGCUCAUAAGGAAGCUGGCAUAUUAUUUACAAACAAUAAAUGAUGAGUUCAUCUGUGCUCCACAAACCAAACUGAACCAAAGAUGAACAGAAUUUUUAAUCUGCAGACUGUUUCAUGAUUUCUACAAAACAAUAUUAAGAUCACUGUUCAGUAUUACCUUUCCUGUUAGAAGCUCCCACAAUACAAUUCCGAAGCUGAAAACAUCAGCCUUGUGAUCAUAUGGUUUAUGUUCAAUGACCUUCAAUGCAUCAAAAAAUGUCAGAAAGCUGCAAAAUAUGUUCACCAAUAAAAUUAUGCUAUUGCAUUAACUGGAAUGUGAUUGGAAAAAAAAUGCAAGACAACAAUAUUUACAGACUUAAAGACCAAACAAUCUCAUCAGGACAUGAAUGGUUUACACGGCUAAAAGGCUAGAUGACGGAAAUAGGAAUAUGUCAUAUCACUGAAGUUGCACAAAAUAAGACAUCCAAUAUCUGAAAUGAUUCUGUGGAACACAGACCUCUGGAGCCAUCCAACGAUAAGUUCCAGUUUCAGCAGUCAUGACUCCAGAUUGAGCUUGUACUCUAGCAACACCAAAAUCAGCAACCUUAACAACCUAAAAGCAAAGAGAUUUGGAUAUUUUAGACAGAUCAAAUUUUGCAAAUAGUGUGAUGCAGUUAUGCAUAAAUUUGAUAAAGCUUCUAUUAACAAGGAGCCACAUGACAGAAGGACAUGCAGCAGAUAAAGCAAUGUAUAUAAGCAGGAGAUAUGAGCAAGCUACACAGUUUUUAAAAAGAAGAAUGGUUCCUACAGUUUUGAAACCAUCUCUCCUUUAAAAUUUUAGAUUUCUUGAUUCACAUUAAAAUUUUAGUUCAGAUUGACGGAUAAAGCAAUGAUAGCAAACAAUUCAUGGCUGGAAGUCAGCCUCCUGGGAGACAGGAGAGGUUGGUUACACUCAGUCACACACCCUAAUAAUUUUGAAUCCUGUUUUACCCUUUUCCCCGCCUCAAAGUGGUCUUGAUUUACAUUCAAGCUUUAAGGUUUUACCUCUUUCUCUUUGCAUCCUUUACUACUUUUAUCAUGACCAAUAUGAAGUACGCCCCAAGGAAGAAAAGAAAAAUAAUAGUUGAUUAAUCAGUCAUAAUUGAAAGGUCAACUACCAACAUAAAACAAGAGAACAUCACAGAAAGGAUUUUGAAUAUCAAGGAAACCACCAGUCAAGAGUUUUCUCCUUCAUUAUAUUUAUUUUCAUCAGCUCAAGGACUUUCCAUUUGAAAAUAAAGGUAACUAUUUCAAAUAAAGAUUAUUAUAUUUUUUUGAAUAUUCCAAAGAUUAAUUAUAAUUGCCAAAUCCCACAACCCUUGGAUCCUAGGAGUUUAUAAUAGAGGACACUUUCACAAUAGUCUAAAAUGUACACAUCCACAUUGAAUUCUUGGCAGGACCAUAGCAAGCUGAUGAGGGUUGUAAUUACAAUUAAAGUGAAGCAAAACAAAACAAAGAAAUGCAUUUUAGCAAGUGAUAGUAAUCACAAUGUGUCAUGUAUACAAUAUGAAAACCAACCCAAUCCACUCUAAAAUUUACACAUCCAUAUUGGAUUCUAUUCAGAUCCAUAGAAGGCUAAUGAGAGUUCUAAUUAAAAUUACAGUCCAGCAAACAAAACAACCAGAAAUAUAGCAGCAUGGUAAGAGUUGUAAUUACAAUUAAGGUCAAGUAUGUUAGAUGGUAUUUUAGCUUAGUUAUUUCAUAUUAUCAAUAAGGGUAGAAUAGUCUUUUAGCUUUUCUUGUUAGCCUAUACAAAUCUUUUUAUGUAAUCUGUUUCUCAGGCCUUUGGUUAAUGAAACCCUAGCUUUCUUUUUUUCUCUUCUUCUUCUUCUUUGUCUUUAUAAUUCUCACAAAGUAAACAGAACAAUUAAAGUUAUUUCAGCAGGUGAUAAUUAUACGUGGGUUCAGACACCACAAAGCACUAACCCAACCCAACUCAACCAAUAUGAUGAAUCCAUCCCACUAAUUUGGCUACAUAAUCACAUAUUAAAUGUCAUAUAUUGGCAAGAAUGAAAUGUCUUACUUUGUUUUCAUCCAUCAGAAUAUUGGCAGCUUUCAGGUCCCUGUGGAUUAUGUCAUUUUGAUGCAAGUAAUUCAUUCCCUUGGACACAUCAAUUGCUACUUUGAGCAAGGAUGGAAGCUUAAAACUGCCCUUUUGCUUAUGCAGAAAGUCAUAGACACUUCCACCAAACAUAAACUCUGAGAAGGGGAAAAUGCAAUGAAACAAACAAUACUCAAAUUCAAUCUUAAAAUCAAAGAAACAAGAUUAAAAAAAAAAAUGAAUAAUAAUGAACUGAUCUUCUAAAAUCAACAAAUAUUACUUUGAUGCCAUGCAAUAGAUAUAUGCAGAAGGUUAUCUAACUUACCAGUCACAAUGCACAGGCUUGGAGGUCUGGUACAUGCACCAAUAAAUUGCACAAUAUUCUUGUGCCGAACUUUUCUGCAAGUUUCAAAGCAAGAGUUGGGAGAGGCAAAGGUAAAAUAGUUCUUGAAAGAGAUGAAUAGCGAUAGACAAUAGCAGCCAUCUUUCCUUAAAUAAUCCAUGGCAUAAAAAAUAAAUUAGACUACCUAAUGCAAUCAAGAAGUCAAGUGGAAUGUUGGACAAUGCACCCUGAUAGUAUGACAACUUGGUUAACUAUAUUUCAUGAAAAACGUGCAACUCAACUUCAUGUGCAAUUGUGCAGGCUAUUGAAGCAACAGAUACUUGUGAGAGUUCAUAAAUUUUAAAACCGUAGUACUUCCAAGCUGAAAAAGAGGACUAAGGGGAUCGAGUUUUAAACCAAGCAGCUCCCGAGGUAUAGGAGCUUUUACCAGGAAUGUACUGUGACAUAAAAUAAAUUUAUGUCUGCAAACUAAACUUGCAGGACAAUAAAUUUGUUUCAAAUUAGCUCCAGGGAAAAGAAGUAGUGUUAAGAAAUUUCACCAUCCAUGCUCUCACAAUAAAUGAGUUUCACAAGUACUUCAACUGGCAUAAAAAUAAACUAAAAUAAACUAAACCAGUGCAUUUCCUCUUCAUUAACUGGCAGUACAUUUAACUAGGGAGCUAACAACUACAAAAUUUAACUAGGACGCUAACAACUAGACAGCUUGUCAAGUGAAUGCACUACUUCAUCUUGAACAGAUAUUAUUCAUGAAUAUCCCCAUAUUAGACCACUUCAGCUUAAGGCAAGCCUUAUAGGAGCUUAAGGCAAGCCAGAGGGUUGCCACUUGGCUAAUGAAUGCAGUACUUCCAACUCAGACAGAUAUAUUCUGGACCAUUCACAUAUUUAUGACACUUCAAAUGAAGACAAGCCAUAUAAAUCUACUAAUCACACUAGAUUUACUUAUACUUGAAGGAAACAACACCAAAGGGAAUUACAAGCCUAUGUUAUAACAAACCUCAUAAUAUAGACUUCUUGAGAAAAUUCCCUCCACAUAUCUUCAUUUAAAUGCUGAGUCUUGAGAACUUUAAUAGCCACAUCCUGGCUACAAAAAGUACCUUUAUACCUGUUUCAAUCAAACAUACUCUUAAAUAAGCUCUUAUACCAUCAUACAUGAUCAGAGCCAGGGUCAACCAUAAGGCCAAAACUCACAAAUCACCAUACGAUCCAGAUGCAAUUUUGUUUUCAAAUUUCAACAGCGUGGCAUCAAUUUCCCAGACAUCAGCCCCAUCAAUGGUUAAGUUUAUGUGACUAGGGAUAAGCUGUUUUUCAGGGUGUCCUUGCUCCCUCCCAGGAGAUAUGAGCUGGAAUUCUGACCAAGGUUGCUUCUGCAGUACACCUUAAAAUAUUGGAUGAUGCUAAAUUUUUAGGAAAAUGGCACAUAAGUUUAAAAAUUUAAGCACAACUUGAUUCAUAUAAAAUCAACAUGGCAUCAUGUAAGAUGAUUGAGAGCACUGGACAUAGAGAUUUGGCAGUAAUGAUUCCAACCUCUUUCACAGGAGCAUCCGGAGAAAAUUCAAAAUGCUGAUAACUAAAAAAUCACAAGAAUUGGAUGGAAAACAAAAACCAUAAAAAUAAAAAUAAAAUGUAAAAUAAUAUAAAAUAAAAUCAUGAGCUAUGCUAUAUAGCUAUUAUUGUUCAGAAAAAGAGGCAAGAUGCAGAGGCCAUUUUGUCAGCCGAAGGUGUAAGGCAAAGCCACAUGAAACAAAGUAUUAAAACUUGAAAUUUUCAUGAUAUGUCAACUCAAUAUCCUGGAGGAACAUCAAGGUCUUCAAGAUUAUUAUAGGGCCUUAUGUGCCAACAUUGGUGUAAGGUUGGGUUCAAUCACGCACAACAAGGUGUUGCAUGACACAGCUGUGCUAGUAAGGUGUGUGUCUCACUUACAUUCAGAGUCAGCCAGACCAUGUGUCUCAGCACCAAAAGGUCCUAUCAGCAGCAGAAUCUCAUUGGUCCAUGACACAGGUCAACAAACAUUAAAAAAAAAAAUCGAAAUGGAGAAAAAAAAAAUGAAAUAGAAAAAUAAUUAACCGACAUAUUUUGAACACUCCUAAUUUGUAGGAGAUAGUAUUAAUGAUAUUUUUCAAAAAUGAGAAGUUAAAGCGUUAUAGAGCCACACUUAUGGACACGCGAGAAUAGUUGAAAAACUGAAGAAAAUCUAAAUUGAAAGCCAGUGAUUAUCAAUCCCUUCAUCGGGGAACCACAGAGAACCUUUAUAUUGACAUGAAGCAAGGUUAAUGGGUUCUCUUAUUCUUAUAUCAGGAAGAUAUGCAUGACAGAAAUUUCCUCCAAAAGUUUAGGUAAAUAUAAUUGGUCUUGUUCAAACUCUCUCAGCUCUCCAUUUUUCAAACGUAUUGAAUUCCUUCAAGAAUCAAUUUUGAAUAGAACAAAAUCCAUCUUUUCUGUUCUUGAAUAUUGGUACUUAUGACCUAUAUGUAAGUUUGCAUCCAAUUAUUGAUUUUCUGAAUAAAUCAAACUUGUCUAUGACAAAGAAUAUGAAACUAUCAGUCCCAUGUGGCACCAAGCAUUGGUGAAUUAACCCAGUCAAAUAUGACAAUAUGCAAGAAUCAACAUAAUUCUAUCAUGAUGGAACAUAUCAUCUUAAUUUGUACAUGGUUUAUGAAUAUAAAAUGUUUUUUAUCCUCAAAAAACAUAUCAGAAUUCACUGCUUUAAAACUUUGUUAGUUUAGUCCAUUCUCCCAUGUGUAGAAAGUGGAAGAUUGACUGUUUAAAACAAUUUUCAGAAAGCUGAUAUGGAGUACUAUAUCAAAAACUACUUUGGUGCUCAAAAUCCUUGAACAAGAAAUACCCUUUCCUUCAAUCAGCUGACUUGCCAGACAGAUUUGAAGUCUAGUACCCUACUUAGUAAAAGAGAGUGACAGACAUGACUGACCCUUCUGAUAACUGACAUGAAUUCAGAACCACCUAACCUAAUGUCAGACCUAAAAACAAGGAAGAAACAGUUUAGCAUUUGGACAAGUAAGAAUUGCCAUAGCCUUAUAAAACAUUGCUGCAUAUUCAAAUCAUUUUCUUAUAAGAGUUUCUCUACAUCCUCCUUUUUUCUGCUAAAUUAUCAUUAAUCUGCUAGUUCUCAUAUGACCAUCAAUGGUUCUUGUCAACAACACUGCAAAAUAAACACUUUACUAGCAUAGACUUAAUUGCAAUAAGAGGAAGUGAUAUGAUGAGGAUGAAUCUCUAAGAUAUACUUCAAGAAAGGGGAUUUAUAUUAGUUGCAAUUAAAGUACGAUUGUUAAUUGGAAUUAAAUUAGUAUUAAUAUUUGUUGUAAUCAAAUUAAGAUUAACUAAGUUAUAAGACAAUUAGAAUUAGAGUUAUAAUGGGUUACUAGAAUCCUAGUAGACUUUAGAUUUCUUAGAGAAACCUAUAAAUAAGGUUAAUUGAUGUAAAUCAAAGUAAUAAAUUGAUUGAUGUUGACAAUAUUAUGUUUUUUUUAUUGCAAAUGUUGCAAUCCUCAAUAGUGAGACUCCAUUGAUUUUCUUCUAAGUGAGACUCCUAGAAGGCCUUAGUGAAACUCUAAGGUUUCUAUCUCUUCUUCUUCAUAUCUUUUGUCUCUCUAUUUUUUUAUAUCAUUUUUCUCUACCAUAAACUUUAUUCCUUGUUCCCCUCCUUACACCCUAAAAAAUAAAAACCCUAACCCACCUACUUGAUUGUAGGCAACCACCCUAGGGUGUCCUACAUCAUGGUAACUGGGUCAUAUCAAAUUAACUUCGCUAACAUAACCAACAGAAAUAUCCCCUUGGUUUUGGUGUUUAAUUAAUCAGAAAAUAAAUCAAUAAAAGGAUAUAACUUCUAUAAGGAUGUCAUUUUAACAAAAACUAAAUGAAGAACUGAAAAGAAAAACAAAAUAGAAAGGAAAUAUUCCAUCUUUCUCCACGAUAAGGAAGGGCAAACCUCAAAAGCUAAUCCUGGGGCAGUCUCUACCAUAAAAAAUAAAAUAGUAGUGUCUGCCUGAAAGCUUCAUGAUCAACUCAGAAAUACAUAAAUUAUCAUUAACAAGUAGCAAGUAAAGAGGUUACCUCAAUCAUUUGAAUUUCCUUUAGCAGUACAUUUCUAAGCUGCUCAGUUUCCUGAAGUUUCCGAGAUGUAAAUAAAUCAAAAAGCUGAUGGAGGAAGAGAAAGAUCAAGAAAUUCGUCAUAGUCCUAAUUUUAAGGAAGCUAUUCAUUUAAAAUAACAUAUGACUAAAGCAUAAAGAGUCCACGAUAUUUUUUUCUAGAAAGACCAAAAAAUUCAUAACUUCAAAUUAGACAAAAGAAAUAGAACCACCUAGUCCAACAAAUUGGUGACAACGCAUUUUAGAAGUUUAUAACAGAUAUGACUGAAAAACCAAAACACAUUCUGUAUGUACCUUAAAACAACAAUGCAAACAAAUGGUGCUAUUUUUGCAGUUAAGAAGAUAUUUAAAUCACUUCUGCAACUACAUAUUAUCUACUCUUCACACUCUUUUUGUUAUAACUUCCCAUCAUAAAUUGUCUUCUUCCUCACACAAGUCAAUUAAAAAAUAACAAAAAUAGUGCUCUCGCAACUGGUUUCAGAUUCAGAAAAGGCGAAGACUCAUAUACAAAAUUAGUAUAAAAAAAAUAAGCCAUCAAAAAACCUCAUCUCAGGUAUGAAAAAGAAGGUCCAUUUUCCCACGUACUUCCUCGGUCAAACCAACCCUGUCCAUUUGCAUAUGCCCACUCAUUACCUUAAACCAAAAUUAUCAGAAUGUACAUAAAGCAAUGGAAAGAUCAUAACAAACAUAAAUACAUUAUGUUGCAACUACCAUCUUCCACUAGUCUCUCAAGAAUCAAUAUGUAUUCACACCAUAUUAUCAGAAAUGACAAUAAAUGUGUCCAAGAAAACUCCAUUCUCAUUCCACUAAGCAUAUCACUCAUUAAAUAUAGACUAGAAAUAGAAUAUAACUUUGCUCCACAUCAUGAACAUGAUUAUUUCAACUGGAAACCAAGUAUUGAGAUAGGACAAGCAAUUUAAUUUAUCAACAUUGUUCAAGGACAUGAACUUAAAAUUUAACAUGAAAUAAAUAAAUGAAGACAUGAAAAAAAAAAAGCGAGAGUUAUUCCUUCCCACAAGGAACUAAAAAGUAGCAUUAGUCAAUACUCUAGCUCAUCCCAUGUAAUCAAUAAGUGUUAUUGUUAUUCAAUAAAGAUAAAAGAGCAAAAUUACCUCAUGUGCCCAGCCCUCAACAACAAAAACAUCCAAGGAGUAGCCAUCUGUCGUGGAAAAAGCAUGUGCUUCUUGAAUGUUCAAUCCAAUAUCAGAAAGUAAUGAGGUCAACUGAGAGAAAGGAAGAUUUAAAAGAUAAAAUUAGAAAAAGAAAGUUAUUUAUAGACAAUUAUUACAGCUACUAGAUGAACCAUUGAAAUUUUCACAAACUUUAAAAUCACCAAUUCUAUCUAUCAUCAUGCAGUUACUCGGGUAAAAGAUAAGCUACGAAUAAGUCCUUUAAAGAGGGAAGUCCAUAGCAGAAACUGCAUCUGAAGAACCAAAAAUAAUAGUUUCAUUCAGAUGAACCACUGAAAUUUUCACAAACCUUAAAAUCACCAAUUCUAUCUAUUAUCAUGCAGUUACUCAGGUAAAAGAUAAGCUACGAAUAAGUCCUUUAAAGAGGGAAGUCCAUAGCAGAAACUGCAUCUGAAGAACCAAAAAUAAUAGUUUCAUUCAGAACUAACCAUGAAAUUGGAAGAUUAGUGCCCAAUCACAAGAGAAGAGUCUAACAAACAGAACAAAACCAACACUCUCUAAGCUGCAAGAUGCACUAGGCACAAGAAAAAUGUCCACAGAUGAACAUAGUUGAAAAAGAUGGUGGGAUACAUGAAUCACAUGAGAUGAUACAAACAUCAAUCAAAGUGAUACCAUAUGAGGGCCAAUGAAAGACAAAGGAUACCAAUUCAAGAAAGAAGGAAUAGGUACCUCACUCAAAUCAUUUAAUCUAUGACCAUUGACCACAAGACAAAUAGCCAGUUCAAUUAGGAGGCGUAAUUUUCAAGUUGAAGGAAUUAGAAGAAAAAGGCCAAAAAAAGAAUUGGCUGAGGUUGUCAGGGAAGACAUGGUGGCUAAUAAUUUAAAUAAAGUUAGGGGCCCAGGUAAAAUGAAGUAAAAGAUCUGUACUUCCACCUGAUAUAGUCACAUUUUUUUUUUUUUUUUAACUAAUUGAAACAUUUACCAUCCAAAUUCUUAACAAACUAAAAAGAAGACCAAAAUAUUUAAGGAAAAAAUUAACUAUAAGUUCCUCACCAUUGUUAACGUCCAUGACACAACCAAUCCAAAUUGCAUCAGAAAAUAGUUACUCUUUAAUAGAAAAAACCAUAUGGUACUUAAAACAGGAUUUCAUAUGCCACAAGAAGAGAUGCUUCAUAUCAAAUAUAUUUUUUUGCAUAAGAAAUAUGGAUGUCAUGACAAUAUGUUUGAGAAUAGCCAUGUUAAGGUCAUGUUCUAUAUACCCCAGUCACAGAAAAUUGCAAUUGAAUUACAAUGUUAGGUGUAUCUCAGGGGAGCUCUGAAAUAUUUCUUCGAGUAUCCAUCAUACAUUGAAUUAGAAAAGAACAGACAACAAAAGAGAAAAUGAGACAGUGCCAUAUAGAAAACUGGUUGCUAAGCCAAGAAAUCAGAUGGAUCCUAACAAGUGUUUGUGACACAGAGUAUACCCAUCCAAAAAAUUAUAUAGAGAGGAUAUCUACCCAAAAAAACAUAUAAAAAGGAUUCCAGAUGAUACCCAAGAGGAUCAGCUACCUGAUUGAGCUUUGACACAGAAUAUCUAAUAACCUACGCAUCCAAAAAAUUAUAUAGAGAGGACAUCCACCCAAAAAAACCAUAUAAAAAGGAUUCCAGAUGAUACCCAAAAGGCUACCUGACUGAGGAGCUUGGGCUUGUCAUUUGUUGAAAUUAUAACUUCAUGCAUCAGCCUACAGAACAAUGAAAGUAUUAUUAAACCAAUGGACAAGUACUUACAGAAAUAAGUGACAGGAGUGGUUUUCCAAUACAAAUGACCAAGAUGUAUCACGUCUAUAAAGCCUGGAUAUAUUGCAUUGUAAAUGUGGUCAAUCAUAUCAUAUCAUGUGGGUCCUACUCAUGACUAAACUGUGUAAGUGCAGACUGCACUGUAGAUGAUGAACAUGUUUUGUUAAAUUGUGUUUUGCUUAGGUCCAGUUUCUGCAUGAAAGAUGUGACUAAUGAGCUUGCAUCACCGGAAGCUUGCUCCUGAGGGUUGUGCCUGUUCAGUCCAGGGCCUCUCUUACUGCAGCACCAUUAGGGACCAUGGCUCAAUGGAUAUCUGAGCCUAUCAAACAGUGACCAUCCAGAACCAUGGCCGGUUUGGUCUUCAGCUCCCAGUUGAAAAGUGAGAAUAUCAAAGACAAAACACUAUGCACCCUGCUGGUUGACAGUGUAGACAUACAUUGUACAUUUUAUUUGUAUGGAACUUAAAAGUGUUUCAUCUUUUCAUUUGUGUAAUUACUUGCAUCCACAAGGUCAAGCCUGAUCUUAGCACCAAAUGUCAAACACCAAAAAUCUUGAGACUUAUUUGCAACACUACAACAUAGAAACAGUAUCACAAGCUAUUACUAGGGACAAUGAGAGAGAAGGUCUCAAUCAAAUAGCAAGGUAUUCAGUGGUCAGCACCCUGAGCUUUGGGUCCUCAUGGAGAGUCCCAAGGAUUUGGCCAUGGAAGGUUCCUCAAUUAUCAAAAAUACUAACCUCCAAAAGCGUAGAUUGGCAUCCACAUCACCUUCUCCAUCUUGAACAUGUGAAUUUUUGGCUUCAACCAAAACUUUCAUAUUAGGCAACAAUCCAAAGGUAGAUGGUGGAUGAGUGCUGAAAAAUAGGGAGAGAGCCCAAAAAAAACAAACAGAUUUUGUAAUGUGUCAGAAAUGAACAAUUUUAAACUACCAAAGGAGAUGGUACUACAAAUGCAUGUUGAAAUAAUCUUGCCUCCUCUGACUGGUGUGAUAAUGACUUUGAGCAUCCACCUUUUUUAAAGGGUUUGAAGGAUCAGAAUCACCAUGAAUUCCACCAGAAAUGGGAUGGACCUGCAUAAAAGAGAGAUUGCCAAAAAGCAUUUGGCCAAGAGAGGUUCAAACCUCCAAUGAGAAUGUUGGUAAAACUAAAAAAAAAAUUAUCGAAAGGCAUGUGCAGAUUGUAUAUCAUCCAACAGUAGUACCCAUAGAAACCAACUGGCAAAAAUAUAAUUAUGAAAAAAUUGUACAGUUUUUACCUACAAAGAGAUUACCAGAAUUAACCUGUUAGCAUAAUAACAAUUACAAUUAUGGGAUUCUCCUCCCGCUUUGAUUAAAAACUUACAUAUGAUGUGACAAAAUGGAACAACAAACUAUGGUCAAGUAGUAAAGGAUACAUAAAACCAGGUUGAGAUGAUGCAAGUAAAAAUUAAGAAAUGCAAAUCGUAUGCAAACUUUGAGAAAUCUGAAGUUGUAGGAACUGAACAAAAAACAUUUACUUCAUAUCUUGUACCUAUAUAAAAAAUCAACAAUUGCAAACAAAAAUAGUUACCUACGAGAAAUAAAAUGGGGUGAAAAACUCUCUCUCAAAAGCAUCUGUCACAAAACUACAUAUUUAUUUUGCUUGGUGGGUGUAGGACAUGGAAGGGGGAAAAUGUCUGGAUAAACAACCUAAUUACUGAUUUGAACUUCAUGCAUCAUUUGCCGCAUGUGCACAAACAUCUAGAUCUGAACAAGCACUUGAUCUUUAUAAAAUGUGAAAAUACCGUGUCCCCCUGAUAACAGUAAUAUUUUCCCAAAUUCGAAAAAAAAAAAGCAAUCUGGAAAAAAUAAAGAAAAUCAACAGUAUCAAUUUUUAUUUUUAUUUUUUUAUAGGUAAAAUCAACAGAAUCAAACUGAUGAAAGGGUAAAUUCUACAAUUUUAAAACAGGCAGAAAAGAAACAACCAACAGAAACCAAGGCUACCACAAUUUAAGGAAAAAAGAAAAGCAUGAAGAUACCUAUUGCUGUUAAUGAUUCCGCAAUAUCUUCUUGCCAGGAGAUUUACCUGCACAAGGCGGACUUCAAGUGCUGGUCUAGUGGCUGGAUCAUGUGCCAAUUGUAGUAGUCUCUUGUGUGUAAGAACAUCUUCGGCCCUCUCUACAUUUACAUCAAGCGCAUACCUAUAAUAAACAAAUCAAAGCCCUCAAUGCAAGCGGACGUAAACACAAAACACUGUUACCAACACAUACAUCAAACACCGCUAUAGAAUUCAAAAAACUUAAAAUCUGAGUCAAAUCAUUAUAUUCAAAAAGAAAAACUAAAUGAUAAAGAAUUAAAAGACAGAGAAAGGAAAUAGUAAAUCCAUUCGAUACAAUCCUCUGUUUUCACUAAAAAAGGCUGCUCAUGACCUUCAAAAUUAUUCCCUGGAAUAACACUGUUACCAACACAUACAUCAAACACCACUAUAGAAUUCAAAAAACUUAAGAUCUGAAUCAAAUCAUUAUAUUCUAAAAGAAAAACUAAAUGAUAAAGAAUUGAAAGACAGAGAAAGGAAAUAGUAAAUCCAUUCGAUACGAUCCUCUGUUUUCACUAAAAAAGGCUGUUCAUGACCUUCAAAAUUAUUCCCUGGAAUAACACUGGAAACACGAUCAUAAAGAAAUUAUACAUAUUAGAUGAAGUGCACAGAAUACCAAACUUUAGAAGCUAAUACCAAAAGAAAAGAAAAGGAAAGGAAAAAAUAUUCCAAGUUCUCUUUUCUUUUUUCUUUUUUUUCACUCGGUUUUUCAAAGAUUAAAUAGAUUGCAAAGAAAUAUAAGAAAGAAAUCAAAAUAUUCAAUCCAAUUAGUGUAAACCUAUGCUUUUAAUUAAAAAGACUGUCCAGUGUUUUCAACUAAUGUUAUUCCCUAGACAACAUUGUAAACAUAAUCAUAAACAAAUUUCAGAAACUAAUACCAAGAGAACCAAAUUCAACCUCAAGCCUGUACUCAACAAUGCUUAUUUAGGAAAGAAUGAGAAAUAAAAGAUAGCACAACUUCGUUGUUUCUUUUCCACUUUUUCAAGGAAAUAGUACGCCGAAAAUAAACAACUCAAGAAUUUCAAGAUCAAACUUCAGAAUGUAAUACCAAGAAACCAGAUUCAAAAUUCAGAUGCAUCGGGCUGCAUUAGGUUCGAAUGCGGUAUCUGUAUAACACAGAAAACUAGACAGAAAAAUAAACAAGGAAGUUUGCUUCUCUUUAAAAGAACAUGACAGAUUAAAGAAAUAACAUCAAACUUCUGAAACUAAGACCAAGAGAACCAAAUUAACAUUCAGAUAAAUCCCACCGUAUGCCGUUCAAAUGACAGAGGCACUGAAAGAAAAAGAAAAGGAAGAUACCAUGUGUACAAACUAAAGAAACCGUCUGAAGAACACCAAACUUCAGAAACUAAUAACAAAAUAAUCAGAUUCAAGAUUCAGAUGCAUCGGCGUUCAAAUGCAAGAGCCGUUUAACAAACAAAAAGAAAAAGGAGUGAAUCCUCUCUUCUUUUAAAGAAACGGUAGAAAUUAAAGAAGAGGUCUCAAGAACGUCAAAUUUUAGAUACUAGUAGCAACAGAAUCAAACUCAAAAGAUUAGGAUACGCACUGAUGUAUGGCUCACACCUAAUAACAUAUCACUAUACUCAAAGGAAAAAAGGAUAUUCCAAAGUAUUUUUUUCUUUCCUUUUCUCUUUCCUUAAUUUUCCAAGGAACCAAACAAGUUGUCAAAAAAAUCAACAAAGAAAUCAAAAUAAACCACAGCUAGGGUUCCAAUACCUAGUCGGAAGUCGAGAGAAGUGUGCCCAAAGUUCAUCAUCAAAACCCGGACGCAUCGCCUCUUCAUUGUCCCAACUCUUGAGUCUACGACGAACCUCUUCAUAAAUUUCAACAACCUUCUGCCUCUGCUUCCGAUUGUGCGUCGGCCAUGAAUCCACUGCCCUGCUACUGCAACUGUCUGCAUCCUCCAUCAAAUCAACGAAGACACGACGAAACACAAGAAAGCGGAAGCUACUUCAAAACCAUCUUCCAAUGCGAGGAUAAACGAGUCCAACAAAACGAUGUCGCUCAUAGUUCACGUGAAAUCAUGAUUGAAAUACACAAAACGACAACCAGGAGGCAAAAAAACCACCGAGUAUCAAAGAGGGAAAACAACAGCAGAAGCGAAGCAAUGCUGCUUCUCCUUUUCUCUCUUCUGUCUAGUUAGAGCCACAAAUGAACGUUAAGCGGGCGUAGUGCGCACCCAUCUGUGCGGGUAUCGACGUGGAUUCAAACUAUGCUCACUUGCUUUGCUUAUAUCACCGCCUUAUAUAUUUAUUUAAAAAUCAGGUUUUACAAAAAAAGUUAUAAAUGGAAUUUUCUUUGUGCGGAUUAAGCGCUGCUGAUACCAGCUCCCGAGUCCCACCUCCUUUCCUGGCCAAUCAGGGCUCUUGUGUGAGAUUGUCGUCUCACCCGCCACUCUCAGUGAGCUGGAGACGGGGCAUUACUAAAAUUACCCAACGAUGAAUUGACAAACGGAUUUUUGCCGGCAACUCUGGUUAGACCGACGUAGAAUCGUGAGCGCUCACGAAGCGCACACCUAGCAGGUACAGAAUGUAAAGUAGUGCUGUAAUGGUCAAGACAUCAUGGAAAACGACCUUUUUUAUAAGAUAAAAAAAAAUAUAUAUAUAUAUAUAUAUAUGAAUAUAGUGUAUGCAAAUUUGAAAGGAAAAAUGAAUAAUUUUGAGUUUUAUUAUUAGAAGAAAAAUUCUGUUUACAUUAUUUCAUCCAUCAUGCAUCCAUUUUAAAAUGCUAGAGGCUUAUUUUAUAAAUAUUUUGAAAACAGUUUUUAAUAUUUUAUUAAACCAAAUUUUAAAAAAAAUUAAAUUUUUUUAACAUAUUUUUAAUAUUUUUUAUAUCUAAUGUUUUACUUUUAAUUAUUUUAUUUCGUAUUUAUAUAAUUAUUUUUAAAAACAACAUAAAAUAAUUACAAAAUAUUUUAUUGAUUUCCCAAUAUUUUCAAAAACGGUUUUCAAACAAAACCAACCUUCUUAAUAUAUUUACUAUAUCCCAAAUACUCCUUUUAUUUUUUUUCUUUUGUGACCUUUUUUUUUUUUUUUUUUGCAUCUUUUUUUUUUUUUCAACAACAAACCCUAAAAUAAACAUUUUUUUUAACAAAUGAAAACAAAACAAAACUCAUUUAGUAAUGUCCUAACCUAAAAUGUUGCAAAUGUCCGGUCUUUUAUUUAUUAAAGGACUCAAAAUUUUCCAUACUUUGAACAUCUAAUCCCAAAAGCUCAAUAUGAUAUUGAAUUAGUUCCUUAAAAUUCUCUUAAGUUAUGUUUAGUUCCCGAAAAUUACAAAGGAAAUAAAAAAAUGAUAAAAAAAAAUUAUUUUCUCAUAUUUGGUUGUCUUAUAAAAUAUUUCAAAUAAAAUUAAAUAAAAUUAAAAUUAAUUACAAACUUAUGCAUUUUAAAAUUAUUCAAUUUUUAUAUUGAUGAAUUCAAAUAAAUAAAACGAAUUUGAAGGAGCAAAUAAAAAUAAUUAAUCAUCUUUAACUCUAUUUUUUAUUUUUCUUCACUUUUUAUUUCCUUUUACUUUUUCUCUCCGUUUUAUUUCCUUUGCAUUUUUCAUUGAAAUUUUCGAAAACCAAACAUAUCCUUAAAAAAAUUCCUAUGGUACUUAUCAAUGAUGUACAUAACUAACUCUAAAUUAUCAAAUAACAAUAAAUUUGGACUUAGAUUUGAACUUUCACUAGACUUUAUAUCAUCAUGAAUUUGAUCUCUUCUUCAAGGGAAAAGAUGGAUUGAAUUUGAUGUUGAAACCAUCUUAUAUAUGAGCUUUCUCAAAUUCUUUUGUUCCUUUAAAACUCAAGAAGGUAUUUUUUUUCGCAUUAAGAAAUCUUCUUGGAGGUUAUCCGUUACAUAAAUAAUUAACUUAAGAUCAGCUAAUUAACAAAUGCAAUUUUAUAAUUAAAAAAGUAAUUAAUUAAUUUUUAUUUCAUUAGAAUACGUGGCUUCGUGUUCUUAUCCCAUCUUAUUAAAAAACAGGUGUAAUACACAUGAUGAUAUGUUUAUAUCCUUAAAAAUAUGGCCAGGCCCCUCACCUUUCCAAAAACAUGGCCUUACCUCGUCGAAUAAAAAAUAAAAAGGUGGCCGGUUCAACAGAGUCUCCACUCUAUGCUCUGGAAAAAAAACCGCAUUAUUGAAGCAAUCUCCCUGAAUGUGAGAGAGUUCAUUUGCGGUACAAGUGGGAAUCAUUUGUUAUCCUAUCCUAUCCAUCCCGUACCCCACCACUUUUAUUAUCAUUAUUGCAUGUUCUGAACGUGCUCCUACCAUAAUAACAUACGAAUUUCCCAUUCAUAUAAUUCAUCUUUAUGAAGGGUGAUACUGGAUUUAGGUGAAAAGCAAGUCGGUGCCUCAUUGGAUGAACAUGCGGAACGAUAUUAAUAAAUACGAAACGUGAGGGGUGUUAAAUUUAAAAUACGAUGGAGAUGAGUGGGGUAGGUGUGUGAUUUAUGGAAGAGGAGAUGAUGUCAUGAUGGUAGAAAGAUGCUGCUGCCGCUGUGGGAAGGUAGCCUAUGAGGAGACUAGACAGUGAAUGGUCUCCGUGGAUGUUGCAGCCAACGCCACAUGCCUCGCUUUUCCAUGGAAUCGUGGGUGGCCACUGGCCUCUCCAGAGGAGAUGAUUAGACCUUGCGGUACGAUGUUGAAGCCCAAAAGCCCGAACCCACCUAUCUCUCGUCAUCCCCUCCAUCGAAGCACUGGGGAGGCGACGCCACAUCAGCAAAUACGACAAAAAUAAAUAAAUAGGAUUAAUUUCAUCGAGCUUCAAGGGUUUCAUUAAAUACAUUUAAUUCUUAUUAAUUUAAAAUUUAAGUUGGUGUUUGUUUUUUUGGCUUUUUGUUGAAAAUCAUUUAGUUUUAGAAUUUAGGUUGUUUGUUUUUUUAUUUUUUCAUUACUUAUUAUAAACUUUUUACUAAAUAAAAAAAGUCAAAAUAUAUGACUUUUUCUAAAUAGAAAAAUAACACAAUGAUUUUUUUUAUUUUUUAAUAAAUAAAAUACUACAAAAACAAACAACAUAAUAUUUAAUACUAUUAGGGGGUGUUUGGUACGUCGGAAUAGGAAAUGAAAAUAAUAUUUUGUUUCCUUUCCUAUUUCUUAGUGGAAUGGAAUGAAUUUGAUAAUUUCAUUUCUAACAUUUGGAUGAACUUAGGAAUGAUUAUUUGUUUCCAUUCCAAUGUUUGAUAAUAAUAGGAAUGGAAAUGAAAAAGAAAUAAAUUUACAAUAAUAUCCUUACAUAUAAUUUAAAAUAUUUUUUUAUUUUUACUUUUAUUUUUAAAAAAUAAAAUUUGAGAGGUUUUUUGUUAUUAAAUAAUAAGACUAAAAAAUAUAUAUAUACUCAAUAAAUAAAAAAUUAACCAUAAAAAAUCGUAUAACCCUAAUGCACAAAUAUUCAAUUAUUAUUUUUAUUAAAAAUUUGAAUAAUUUGUCAUGCUUAAGUAGUUAUAAAAUUAUAUUUUUCAAAAAAAAAAAAAUAUUUAUUAUAAUAUUUAAAUUCUCAAAGCUAGUAAAUGUUUUUCCUAUUUUCAAAAAAGGAAAUAAAAGAAUUCAAAUUUAUUAUAAUUUUCAACAAGUAUCAUAUCCGAUAAAAUCCAUAACCUUAAAAAAAUUUAAAUAUUCGUUUUUUUUUAUCAAAAUUUUAAAUAAUUUGUCAUGCAAAAAAAGCUAUAGAAUUCUAUUUUAUUAAGAAAAAAAAAAAAGAGAAAAAAAAAUAUAAGAACAUAUAAAUUGUCAAAGCUACCAAAUACUUAUUUCUUAUUUGCAAAAAAGGAAAUAAAAAAACACAAACUUCAUUCUAGUUCUCAAUAUAAGUACCAUAUCUACUAAAAUCUACAACUAGUAUAUCCUCCAAAAUUAAGCCAUCAAAUCAAUAAAAAAGUUCAUAGGAAAUUGAUGAAACAAAAUCCAACCUAAAAUUUCUAUCAAUCUAACCUAAAGACAAUAAAUUAACAAGGAUGCAAUAUGGAGAUCGAAAAAUCUUCAAUAUUUUUAAGUACCAUAUCUUUCUAAGUACCAUAUCUUUUUAUUUUUUUCCUAACCAUUAAAAAUUUUCAAUAUUGUAAACACGUGAAAUCGAAAAAUCUUUUUCCAACCAUUUCAAUUUUUCUCUUCAGUUUCCAUUAAUACAAGAUAAAGAAACAUCAAAGAUUCCAAACAUAAAUUAAUAAAAAAAAAUUAAUCGAUUUAUAGAGAAGAAGAAACACAUAUAAAGAAGCGAAGAAGAAAGAGAAAAUAAGGUAAACCUGAUCGAAGAUGUACAAGGGAGUUUUCAGAACCUAGUUGCAGCAAACAAUGACGAAUCCUAGAUCCAACAAUCAAAAUGAACAUCCAAAACCCUAUAAAUUAGAAAUUGAUUUUUUUUUUUAAAUAUCGUGGAAGGUUUAAUUGAUUCAAUUUGGAAGAAUCACUUGUUACAGAGAAUUGGAUGAUGAGUGGGUCUCUAACUUUCCAAAUAAGAUAAGAAGUGGAUGAUGAAUGGAUCUCUACCUUUACAAAGAAGAUAAACAUCGAGUUUGAAGAACAAGAUAAAAGGGUAAAAUAGUAAUUUAGGUUAUUUUAUAUUAUCAAAUAAGUUUAAUGAAUCAGAAUACCACCUACUUUUAAUGAAUGCAAAUCCGACUCAUAAGUUGGAUUUGAUUUAUGUCGGAAUAAUUUUUUAUUUCAUUUCCGCCUUCUUAACAUUUAUCCAAACAUAAGAAUAAAGGAGAAAAGGAAUGAGAUGUCUAUUCCCACUCCCUAUUCCCGUGUACCAAACACCCCCUUAAGUAUUAAGAUUCUAUUUAGAAUUAAGUAAAAAAACAAACACCACCUUUAAUUUUAGUUUUUAGUCUUCUUCUCAUUUAAGCUUAAAAUAACUAAAAUAUAUUUAACACAAAUCUUAAAAGUAGAGUGAAAUAAACUAUAAAUAAAUGCACAGUGAUGGAUUUUUUAUUUAUUUUUUGGUGUUUUUGAAAAUAAGAAAUAUAAAUGGUUUUAUAUUUUAAAAAUAUUGUCAAAUACAUAUUUAAAUUAAUUUUUAAUAUAAAAAUUCUAAUGAUUUCCCCAAAAUGGGCACUUGACCACCUAUACUCAAUAGCUACAUAAUCAUUCGUAAAAAAAAAAAAAAAAAAAAAAAAUUUGAAGUAUUAUUUAAAGAAUAAAGACUUUAUUAUAUGCUUCAACCAUCCGAAUCGCAUAGUGGAUAUGUAGCCCAAACAUUUUCAUAAUUGAUAUGAUAAUGUUCUCAAAUAUCCAUCUUUCCCUCAAAUUGACGAGUGCUAACGUCUCGCUUGACGUCACCAACAAAGAAGCUAGGAAAAGAUUCUAAGAUAUAGUGGCCUUUAUGAUUUCAAGCAGCGAACAACCUAUCCUCCAUGAGAACAACAUACAGACGAGGAUUUCAUAAUCUGUACCUACAGUUAACAAUAGCCGUCCGAUUCACCGCGAACUCUGAGAAAAAUAAAAUGUCACUGCUUUCGAUUUCCCUCAAAUAGCAAUACGGACUGAGAAAUGUGGGGUUCUGUUGCACUCACACGUUGAAAUAAUGUAGUUCUUCCCGUGUGAGGUGAAUAACGUCACAUCAAUAUUUACCUAUCCCAUUAGAAAAUAAAAAAUUAAAAUUAUUUUUUAUUUUUUAUUUUAAAUAUUAAGUAUUUAAUAAAAUUAACUUAAAAUUUAUAUUAAGCUAUCCUGUUAACCCUCAUUAAUUAUAAUUAAUAUUUAUUUUUAUCUAUUUUAAAUAAUAAAUUUGUUUAUUAAAUAUUUAUACUUAAAGUAUUAUAAUAUAUAAGAUGAUUUUAAAAUAUUUAUUAUAAAAAAUGAGUUAUGACGUAGAGUUGUAGUUAUUAAAUAUUAAUAAAUGAAGUUAAAAAAAAUUGAAAUUAAAAAUAAGUUAUUAAUUUAGUGGGUGUUUGGUAAAUCACUUAAAGUGAUUUAAUAACUUAAUUUAAAUUAUUAAAUAAAUUAAUUAUAUUUAAUAAAAUGAUUUAAUGAUAUAAUUUAAAAUAAAAAUAUUUUUUAAGUAAUAAAUAAAAAUAAUUAAUUUAUUAUUAAAUUUAUAUUUAUAUUUUACUUUUUUUUUAUUUUUAUUUGUCAUAAUUACCUUUACAAUAUUUUUUACUAUUUCAUGACUUUUAUUAUUAUUUUACCGUAUUUACUUUAAUUAUAAUUUAUGAUUUUAAAUUACAAUUUAAGUAUAACUUCAAUUAAAUUCACUCUAAGUCAUUAAGUAAUAAAUAUUAAAUUUUUUUUAACACCUCUAAUACUCAACAUUAUUUUUAACUUAAAGUUGUGAUAUUGAGAUAUUUUAUUACUAUCCUUCUUUUAUAUUUUUAAAAUAAAAAUAUUAAGAACAACAUUUAUAUAAGAUAUUAAAAUUACUAAAGAUAUAUAUUGAAAGAAAAUAUUGAUUUUAAAAAAAUAGUUAAAAUUUUAAAAAAUACAAAGAUGGUGAAUUUAGUUGAAUUUUUUUUUUAAAAAAAAAAAAAACAUUUUUCGGUGAUGAUAAAACAAACAAAACCUCAACAGGCUCACAUUUGACUUACCCGUAACUCAUAUUAUUAACAAUAUGCCAAAGACAAAACCAAAGAGAGGUAGAUCUUUUUAGUUGUAUAUAUAUUUUUUAUAACCUAAACUCAAACAGCUGAUAUAAACAAACCUGGGAAAGUGGCAUGUGAUUAUUAUUAGUAAGAACUAAGAAGCGAUAAUAUUUUUCUUUUUCUUGGAAAAUGUAAAUAAAAUGGAAAAGAGGCUUAACCCAUCACCCACAGGGCCACAGUGGUCCCGUGGAAAAAUGAUUCCUAGUGGAAGAUUACCAUAUGGCUGGGUUGAUGACAGCCGUAAGACAGGCCCCUCCUAUACCCAAUUUGAAAAUAUAGACAACAGAUUAUGACCUGAGAGAUGCUCCCCGUUUCUGAAAAAAUCUAUUCAAGCACAGGCCAUUUUUCUGUUCGGAUCAAUGGAACAAUGGAUUCCGUAUGACGCUGAAAAGAAUGGCUGGCCUCCAUACCAUUGUCGUUUCUGUCAAAUGAUAUAGGAAGUAUUUUUAUUUAAUUAAAAUUUAAAAAUAUGAAAAAUAUUUUUAUUUUCAAUAAGAUUAUUUUGAUAUUUAUAUUGUGAAAGUAUCAUACUUGUUCUUAUCUUUAAUAAAAACUGCUUUUUUUAAUAUAUAUAAUUUUGAAUUCCAUAUGGCAAUAGACUCAAAACGUUAAUGUUACAUGUAGGCCUAUAGAUUACUUCAAGUAAAAAAUAUUAUUGUAAUAAUUGUAUAGGUUGCAAUUUGGAUGGGACGGAAAGAUUGAUGGCUAACUCAAGCCCACAUUGAAUUUAAAAAUAAUAAAUUUAAAUUCAACAUAAUUUAACUUAUAAUAUGAGGUCCUAGAUCCAAUCUAACCUCAUUUUUCUAAACUUGGGUUAAUUUGAUGAGAUUUUAGUUAAUCAGGUUGAUUGCAUUAUUCAAAAUUCAUCUAUAGUGAUUAUAUAUAUAACUAUAUAUUUAUAUCAAAUUUUAAAUAAUACAUAAGACAAAAUUUUAAGAUAAUAAUAAAAAAGUAAAAAUAAACUUAUAUACUUUCCAAAAAAAAUGAUAUGAUUAUAAUUUGACAUUUUUCUUUAAAAAUAAAAAAAAUGAAUAUUAUUAUAUAUAAUAUAAAUAUUAUAAAAACAUUAAAUUAUAUUUGGGUUAGGCUUGAUUUGUUUAGACCUUAACCUAAGGGUAAUUCAAAUUGAAUUCAAGUUAAGAAAAUUUAACCCAAACUCAACCCAAAUAUUGAAAAUAUUUGCCCAAACAUGCCCAAGCAUGAAGUUAGGUUAGGUCAAACAAUCCAAGUUGCACCUCUAAUUUUUAAUUAAACCUUACCAUCAUCUUGUCUAAUCAUUUUAUUAAAAUUCAAUAAAUAUUUGAUUGAUUACCAUUAAAUAGAAUUGAAAUCAAGGUUAAAAGUGAAAAUUUUAAAGUUGUAAUCCCUUAAUUGAAAUUUAUAACUUAUAUAUAUAUAUAUAUAUUGAUAAAAUUAUUACUAAACAUUAAUACUUAUUUUUCUAAUCCUUAUAAAUCAUGAUGAAAACUAAAUAUCAUAAUGGGGUAGGUUUUUUGGGUACCACCCUGUAUAAAUGGGUUUGGGUGUGACAUUAUCCAGUCCCACCCUAAUUAUACGUAAUUAAAUAAAAAAUUUAUUUUAAUUGAUUUUUUCUAUUUCUUUAAAAUUUAAUAUAUAUAUAUAUAUAUAUAUAUAUAUAUAUAUAUAUAUAUGAUAUUAUUUUUUAUAAAAAUAAAUUAUAAAUAUGUAUAAUGUUUUUUUAGUUAUAAAUUAUGUUUAUUUUAAUUAGAAUUUAAUAUUUUAAAAGUAAAAUGUUUGAAAAAGUAAAAAACAAUAAACAUGACGGAUAGACACACGAGAAUUUCAUAUACUAGUCUUGUCUUACCUCACCUUGUUUAAUUUUUUAUUUUUUGUUUAUAGGAAUGAGAAUUUAUUUAAAUAAAUGGGAUCGUUGAGAUAGGAUUGACCCAUCCACCUUACCAUUCCUAUUCAAAUUUUAAUUUAUUUUAUAUUUUCUUUAUUUUAGUUUUCAUUCUUAUAUAUAUAUAUAUAUAUAUUGGUUUUUUUGAUUUUAUUUUAAGUGAUAGCAUCUUCUUAGCUCCAAUUUUUUUUUUUGUUACAUUAUUUUGUGAAAUUAUAACAAUGCACUUUAUGAAUACAGUAAUUCUAAACUUUGAAGGUCACUAUUACAAAUUACUAAUAUGAGAUGACAGACAUGCAUGUUUUAAUUUUUAUAAUUUCAAAUAAUAUGAAUUAAGAUAAAAAUUAACAAAAAAUGAUUAUAGAUUUUUUUUAAGAAAUGAGGGAAAAAUUAUAUUUUUAUUAAAGAAAAAAACAAGAUUAAACUAAUGAUUGAAAUAAGGAGUCGAAUGAAUAAAAUAUAGAAACACAUAUUUAGAAAAAGAAAAAAGAAAAAAAUUGGAUAAUCACAAAAUAAUAGAUUGUGUUAGGUGAGUAUGGCAAAAUUUGAUACAAUUCGUGAACACGAUAUGGACCCAAUAUGUUUUUCGUGGGUUUGGAUUAGGUAUAAAUUAGUUUUUUUUUUCAAAUAAAUAAAUUAAUUAAGUUAUGAAUAUGUUUGAUUGAGAUAUUAAUUAUAUAGAUAUAUAACGUGAUUAUUAAAUGGGAGGACUUAAUUAUUAAUGGGUUAAACAAUUUACAAGAGAUUAUUAUUUAUAUCAAGUUUGGAUUGAACUAUGCAAUAAAAUACUUAUGCUUUGAUACGAUAUGAACAUGACCCACCAACAUAAAUUGUCACCCAUCUCUAUUGAGUAACAAACCAAUAAUUUUUACCAUGUUAAUCUAUAUUUAUCUCAUAUCUUUGAUUUAUUUAUAUUUUUGUAUUUUACUGUUAUUAGAAUCAUAAAUCUUGUCCAUAAACUAAUUUUCUACUAUUUAAAUUGAUUUUUAUUUUUAGUUUUGUAUCGAGGCUGAAAUUAAAAAUCCGAACCCCAAAAACUGGCCCAAAAAUUUGAGUCCGAAUCUGGACCAUUCCAGGCCCAAAGCCCAGCUUUAGUUCUUUGACCAAACAGAACUUACAACGAGAAAAAAUGGUUUUCAAAAGUCAUGCUCCUCCGAGAAUGAGAAAAUACACGUUCCCAUGCAAGCUUAAAUACAAAUAAACAGCGAAGAAGGGUGAUCAGUGAUGACUGGAGUUUAAUAUACGCCGGUAACGAAAUGGUAACCAAGGGACAAAAUUGGGUGGUUGGUCCGAUGAGAUUCCACAUAUAGUAUUCAAUACAGAGUUCAGAGACACAGAGGGAGUUAUGGGGUGAUUCCCUCAUUUAAUGCUGUUGUCUGUUUUUCCUGGUUUGUUAGUCUCAGAGAAGAGAGAAAAAAAGAAAAAACAGAGAGAGAUGGAAAGACUUGUGGAGCGGUUUCACAUUAAUGUAGGGGGGCCUCAGCUCUGUACUUGUGGUUGAGAGUGAGAGAAUGUAAAGUGUGAUUAAAGGGUCAAAGCUUGACCCUAAUUGAUAUUCAUCCACGUAAAUAUAUAGUACAUCAAGCAAACCUAAUUAAGGGAAAACCGUGAGUUUAGGAAACAAUCCUAAACAAUAGCAACUACUUUCCUAGAAUACUUUCCUAGAAUAUAUCAUAAUAUCUCAAUCGUGAGUUUAGGAAACAAUCCUAAACAAUAGCAACUACUUUCCUAAUAUACUUUCCUAGAAUAUAUCAUAAUAUCUCAACAGAGAAAGAGAGAAAGAGAGAAAAAGAGAGAGAAAGGGAGCGAGGGAGAAUAUUAUGGGUGAUGGGUUCCUAUUAAUGCAAUGGUCCUUGUAUAGGGUCUGGUAGUGGAGGGUUGUAAAUGCUCCUGCAGAGCCUCCAUCUUCUUAAAUUCGAUCAAGACAUUCCCAUUUCUUCUCACCACUAUCCCCUUUCCAAAAUCCUCUCCUCUCUUUUUCUUUUUCUCUCUCUCUCUGUUUCUACUCCUUCGCCAUCGCCAUCACCAUCACAUACCCCCUCUUCCUCUUCUCCACUCCCCUUGCUUUGUCUCCAUCUUCUCUUCUCAGAUUCUCCCUUUUUGGGUAUUUUCCAACCGUGACGAGGAGUUGAAAUAGUUACUGUGAUGUUGGCUCGGUUCACUCAGACAAAAAGAAAAAAAGAAAAAACAAACACAUAUAUGCAUGCAUUUUUCUCUUUUAGCUUUGAUUGAGCCGUGCCAAUAUCUCAGUGCCUUUUCAUUUCUACUCAUUUGCUCUUUUCAGAUUCCACAUCCAAGUGUUUCUUCCAGGCUUCAAAAUCCAUAUCUUCACCAACAUGCCCUUUUUCUCUACACGUGAUUCUUUCCCAAAAUAGCUUGUUUCCAUCUACCAAUAGAUGGUAAAGGUCGAGUCUACCCUUCUUUCAAAGAGUGCAAAUAUAAUUUUUUUGGGGCAUUAUGGUGUUUUCUGCUCACGCAAGGGCCUCCUAUUUUUCUUGCUUUCCGGUGAGUAGAUAGUUCUCCCCUUUGUUUUCUUUCUUUCGAAUAUUUUAAUUGUAUCAUAAUAAAUUAUAAAAUUACAUAUAAUAGCAGAAAAAUUAAUAGCAUACUUUUUAUUUUCUUGAAUAUUUUUAUUUUUUUCCCUUGAAAAGGCAUGGUAUGAAGAUUUAUUUAAAAAUCAAUGUUAUGAAUAAUUAAAUUUAGAUUGCUUUAAAAUACCAUACAAUAUGUUCUCCUCUAGGUAUUUUCACAGCCACCGUCAUCACUGUUGUGACCUACCUUACUAAUAUCAGCCUUGAAUUUUGUUCUGAAAAGCUGGAAAUGUUUUUAUUUAUUUAUUUUUAUUUUUAAAAUCUUAUUGAAUUCUUUGCAAGAAAAGAGCCAAUGGCCUUGAAUCUAGGCUUUCCCCAACUGUGCCGCUCAAUCAAUGAGAAGUACCUAUCAGACUAGACAUUUAUUAAAACUUAGAGAAAUUGAAGUCAAUGCAGCUAGUGCAAUGAAUUUACACAUUAUACCCUGUUUGGAUGCCAUUUAAUUUUCUACAGUUUUAUUACAGUAGAAAAGGGAAAAAAUAUAUAUAAAUAAUUAUUAAUCAAAUUAAUCAUUUAAUAAAAAUUUAUAGAUUUUUUUUUUAUAACCUUCAUGACCUCAACCAUCAUAUGAUGAUAGUCUGAUAGAGGGUUAAAUUAACCCAUGUACAUUUUGCUUCAUUUCUUGAGGUAUAGAAGAAAUAUAGGUAGAAGUUAGUUGAGGAUAGUAAAUGCCAGAGGGGGAUGAGCGUUGGGACAUAUUUAAUAGGAAGAGUAAAUUGGAUAGGUGGGAAAAAAGUGAGAUUCUCUCGGCAUUUACACACUUAAUGACUUACCAGGAUGAGUGCAUUUACUUUUUGCACUGGGACAAAGAUUCCCUUCUUCAUUUCUCGCCACUCUCUUCCUCGCACUUCACAUUUACUCCGCUUUUACUGCUCUUUUAUUUCCUCCCCGCGCUUAAAAGUGCAUGCCGGAUAUGAUAUUUUCAAGUGAUUUCUCACAAAAGUGAAAGAAGUAUUUUUCUUAACGUUGUUUAUUUGUAAAAUUUUUAUAUUGUUUCAAGCUCUCAAACGUGGGUGUGGUGUUUUUUUGGCUGAAUAAAAAAAGUUAAUUAUUUUUCUACUCAUCAACGUUGUCCUCUCUUGUACUCUUUAAUGAAUAUUUCAAAACCUUUAUUAAGAUUUGAUGGGAUAUAAAUCAUGGGCUUGUGUUCGAAUUAAAAAAAAGCUUUCUUUUAAAAAUAAUAAUAAUAAUAAAAUAAUAAACAUGAAAGAAAAUAAUAAUUUUUUGCAUUAAAAAUGAAGCAAGAAACACAAAAAAUUCACUCCAGGUUUGAGCACUUGGGGGUUUAAAUGCUUGUUGAGUGUGUUUGACUUGUUUACACUCAAAGUACUUAUAAUAAAAGUAUUUUUUUUUGUAAAUUUUUUUUGAGAGAAUCAUUAAUUAAAUGUAUUAUAAGUAAUUUUAAAAUUUUUUAAAAAUAUUUCUUAAAUUUUAUCAAGCACUUAAUUUUUCUUCUAAAACAUUUUUUUUAAAUCUUAAAACGAGUUUGAAAGUGAUUUUAAAAAACGUUUAUAAUAUUUUUAAUAUUUAAAUUAUAAAAAUUUUAAAGCAUUAAAAAUAUUAAAAUCACUAUCAAACGGACUAUUAAUCAACUUUUUAAUUCGAUAAUUUUUUUAGCUUUUCUCUAUAGUUUUCAAUUUAAUUUAUUGUAUUGAUCAUUUUAAAGAUUUUAUUAAUCCUUACAUGCAUAUGAACCUUGAAUUUAAUGACUCUAAACCAAUCCAAAGUUGAUUCUAAUGAAGCUCCAAGCACAUCAAGAUAUAUUAAUGAAAUAAAAUUGUCAAACUUAAAUUAAUACAUGUUCAUGUAUUAAUUUUAUUUUUAAAAUGUAUAUCCUAUUGUAGACCCCCUUCCGGGGAGAAGGGGUUUUUGGGCCUUCUUUUUAUUAUUUUGCUAUCAUGAUUACUCUUCUGACCACCCCGGGACUUAGGUUGAUGGGGGCGGCUAGAUUAGAAGGAAUGCAGAGAGUAGGUGAGGGUUGGGAAUGGAAAAGAGGAGGAAAAAGAGGAGAAGAAACAGGGAGGGGCGGCAACGGGAACGGGGGGAGGCUUGACUGUCUGAGAGAGGAAGAAGCACAGAAAAAUCUCCUUGAAAGGAGCAGAUACAGGUAUUCUCAUUUCUUGAAGCCAUCUUUAUAUAUAUACAUGUUGCUAUUUUUUUCUUUGAGUUUUUUUUGGGUAUCAUUUGAUUCCACUUCUGAAGUUCGGAUGUGUUUAUCGGGAUCUCCCGUUCAUCCAUGCGGGAUUCGAGUUUGCUUUCAUUGGGCUCAUGUUCGAUUCCUAUCUUGUUUUAUAUCCUCUGUUUUUGAGAUCUCGUAUGAGAUAUUGGCAUUUACGCUUUGAUUUUUGUUUUAAAUCCCAUUUUGAAAAUUGUUUUGACCCCCUCCCACGUUCUGGGCAUCUUUAACUGAUACAUGAAGCUCCCGCAUACAUGGGAGCCAUGCAAAGGUGGCCUCUAUUUCAUACCUAUCUUUCUCCCGUGCUCAUACCCGUUCCAUACCUAUUUCCCCCACCAUCCAACCUUUGUUUUUUUUUUUUUUUUUUGUUUAUAUAUAUCUUCAUACCCAACCCCUAAAGACCAGCAGCUUCAAGGAAGAAGAACAAAGUGACGCCAUGGUAAGCAACACCACCCGUGCGCCUCGUGAUUCAACUGGUAGUGGUAGGCAUGCUUCACGCCGCGCCAUUCUCGUUGGUCCGCAAGAACAAAGCCUACCAGUUUCUGAUCUCCGAGGGCAUCAUCGCGUAGAACCUCUGCUGCACCGUCAACGUCCUGCACCACCAGCCUGCCACCCCCAGUCUUCAACCCAGAAAUAAAAAUAAAAACGGGUUGAGACCAUCUUUGAUCCUUAAAGUGGAUAUCAUGAGCAAUGGUUUCUGUUUGUGGGCCUAAGUUAAUCCAUGUGGGCCUUAAGCCCUAUCUUUUGAGUUUAGGCCUAACUAGUUUAUAUUCAAGUUGGGCCUUAUGUGAAUGGGCUCCACUGCAGGCCAUUUUAUGUCUUGUUCUUUUAUAUUUCAUGGGUCUUUAUAAAAUUUCUAUCCCCCAAGUACCCUUUCAAAAUUCUUUCAUUUAAUUAUUAUUUCGUAUUCCAAUUUUCAAAUACUCUUUCGAAACCCCAAAUUUACAAAGUUUAGUUUGCAAAACUAUUAAGUCUCGAAAUUUUAAAUUUUCCAAAGCUUCAUCCCUAUAUUUAAUUUUAAGAAAUGUCAUUUUCGAAAUAAUCCCCUAAAAUUUAAUCUUAAACCCAGGCUAUAAAACUUUGAUCCUCAAAAAUUCAAUUUACUUAAACUUCUUUCUCAAUAAUGAUAAUAAUAAUAAUAACACAAUUUACUAAAUUCCCACCUUCCCAUUAAUUUAUUAUUUUAUUUAUUUAUUCUAAAAUUCCAUUUUAAACAAUUCAUUUAAAACUUUCGAUUUCCGAUUUUAAUUUCUAAUUCCAAAAGUUCCAAUAUUCACAUUAAUCUAUUUAAUUAUUAUUACUUUAUUUAUUUAUUCUAAAAUUCCAUUUUAAACAAUUCAUUUAAAACUUCCGAUUUUCGAAUUAAAUUUCUAUUUCUGAAAAUUCCAAUAUUCACCUUAAUUUAUUUAAUUAUUAUUAUUUUAUUUAUUUAUUCUAAAAUUCCAUUUUAAACAAUUCAUUAAAAUUUUCAACUUCCGAUUUUAAUUUCUAAAUUCCUAAUCUCGAAAAUUCUCAUAUUCCCAUUAAUUUAUUUAAUCAUUAGUAUUUUAUUUAUUUAUUUCAAAACUCCAUUUUGAAUCAAUUCUUCAAAACUUCUGAUUUCCGAAUUAAAUUCAUAAUCCCGAAAAUUCACGUAUUCACAUUAAUUUAUUUAAUCAUUAGUAUUUUGUUUAUUUAUUUUAAAACUCCAAUUUAAAUCAAUUCUUUAAAACUUUUGAUUUCUGAGUUAAAUUCCUAAUCCCGAAAAUUCUUGUAUUCCCAUUAAUUUAUUUAAUCAUUAGUAUUUUAUUUAUUUAUUUUAAAACUCUAAUUUAAAUCAAUUCUUUAAAACUUCUGAUUUCCGAAUUAAAUUUCUAAUCCCGAAAAUUUAUGUAUUCCCAUUAAUUUAUUUAUUUACUUCAAAACUCCAAUUUAAAUUAAUUCUUUAAAACUUCUGAUUUCCGAACUAAAUUCCUAAUCUCGAAAAUUUCUGUAUUCCCAUUAAUUUAUUUAUUUACUUCAAAACUCCAAUUUAAAUUAAUUCUUUAAAACUUCUGAUUUCCGAACUAAAUUCCUAAUAUCGAAAAUUCACGUAUUCCCAUUAAUUUAUUUAAUCAUUAGUAUUUUAUUUAUUUAUUUUAAAACUCUAAUUUAAAUCAAUUCUUUAAAACUUCUGAUUUCCGAAUUAAAUUCCUAAUCCCGAAAAUUUAUGUAUUCCCAUUAAUUUAUUUAUUUACUUCAAAACUCCAUUUUAAAUCAAUUUUUUAAAACUUCUGAUUUGCCAAUUAAAUUCCUAAUCCUAAAAAUUCCAAUAUUCAUAUUAAUUUACUUAAUCACUAAUAGUUUAUUUAUUUAUCUCAAAAUUCUAUUUUAAACAAUUCUUUAAAAUUUUUGACUUCUGAAUUUAAUUUCCAAUUCCAAAAAUUCCAGUAUUCCCAUUCAUUUAUUCGAUCAUUACUUUCGUCCUUAUUAUUAUUAUUCCAUUUAUUUAUUUGUUUUUCUUUUGAAUCCCAAUUUCCAAAUUUAAUUUCCGAUUUCUAAACUUCCAAUCUCUUUCAAAUUUGACAUCCAAAAGUCCAACUCUUAAAUUCAAUUCCCAAGACUCCAAUUUUCAAAUAAUUUUCAAGACUCCAAUUCUCAAAUGAAUUUAAAAAAUCCAGCUUUCCUUCGAACAAUUUUAAAACCUGCUUAGUGAUGCAUGUGGUAUGUUUUGUGCUCUAUAAGGUGUACUAACCCUCUCUAUUGAUAGCGCAUGGUGGUUCGUUGCCCAGGUAUGUACCCAUUUUCCCUCUAAUCGUUGUCUAUGCAUGUCUCGACUCUUAUGUGUGCAUGAUCAUUCAGGAUAUUCAUUGAUUUACUCAUCAAUUGCCACAUCAACUUCAUUUUAUUAAUAGAGACCCGACUUUAGGGACUUAGAGGGGUGCUACAGUCUUUACCGAACCUUCCUGAUAAGUAACCUGACCCCUGAGCCCGAUCUGGUUUUUCACAUACCACAUUUUCCAAAACAUGGAGUCACACUUAGGGUUUUUCUUUCUUAUUUUGUUUACCCUUUAAAAAUAAAACAAAAAUAAGUGGCGACUCCAAGUCAUUUUCAAAUAAUCAAUAAAAAAAUCAUUUUUCAAAUUAAAAUCGAGCUCGCCAUUCGAAUGGGAAACACAUGAGCCGAAAUGCGGGGUCCACACCUAUGAAUUGUUUUUUAAUAUAUUACUAUAUAAGAUCUAGGUGUUUGACAAAAUAAAUUUUUUUUUUUUUCAAAAUCUAAAAAAAUGUUUGAAAUAAUCUUAAAUUAACAUUUUGAUAAGUGCUUCUUAAAAGAUGACUUAGAUUAAAACAUUUAAGUUAAUUUUGAUUCCCAUAAAAUUGAAGAGAAAGCAAAGUGGAAAAAUAAAAUAAAAAAUAAAAAAUAAAUUUAAAGGUAAUAAAUUAUUUUUAUGAUACUUCAAACUCAUUUAACUUAUUUUAAUAAUUUUAUAUAAAGAUUAAAUAAUCUAAUAAUAUAUAAAUUUUCACUUAAUUUUAAUUAUAUACAUAUAACCAAAUAUAAAAAAUAGUGUAUUUGUAAUUGCUUUUUUAAAACAAUUUCGAAAAAUUAUUUUUUGUUAACAAUUUUUUAAAAUUGAUCUUUCAUUUUUGUAGAACAAGAGUUUGUUUUAAAACCUAAAAAGUUUUUAACAUGUUUUUCAUAUUUUUAAAAUACUUUUUAUAUUUACUAUUUUAUAUUUAAUUAUUUUAUAUAUUUAUAAAAUUAUUUAUUAAAACAAUCAUAGAAAAAAAAUAAAAAAUAAAAAAAAAUUAAAAAAUAUUAUUUGAAAACAUUCUAUUUCGUUAUUUUAUUUUUAAAAAAUAAAAAUAAUUUUUAAUUACCAAAUUUAUUUUAUGUGUUUUUUGUUACGAAUAAUAAAAAAUUAUUCUAAAAAAUAUUUCAAACAGACCCUUCAACUUCCUUAAAAUUUUUUUUUUUCAUUUUCUUAACAUUCUUUUAUUCUUUUAUUUGCAUUUUUCUUAAAUCAAACAUAGCCUUAAAUUUUAAAUAAAAUAUUGUAUUCUAGGAAUUAUUUUUUAACUAUUUCCAAAAACAUUAUCACACUUCUUUCGUUUUUUUCUUAUAGAAUUCCCAUCACUAAAAUAAAAUAGCCUUAAAUAUUCUCAGUAAAAGUGUUGUAGUAAGAAUACUUUCACCGGGAAAAGAAAUGGGAGAAUUGUGUUUUGGGCCCAGCUGGACCCAAAAAUUAACAUUUGGUCCUCCAACCACCCAUAUUUAAGCCCAAGACCCAAACAAAGUAUGAAAAUUAAGAUGAAGGAUAUAUUGUCUUUUAUUAAUUCCUAAAAUACCCUUAUCCCUUAUAUGCCUACAAGUGAGUGUGAAUUUUAAUUUUUUUUUUUGUGUUUUUUUUCCUUUUCUAUUCCCUAUUAAAUAUUACUCAUUUCUAACUUUUUUUUUUCCUUUUCAUUCCAAUAUAUAUUUCUAUUUUAUGUCAAAUAAAAAGCAAUAAUAUUUUUUUAUUUUUCAUUUUUAAAGAUAUUGAAUCUUUUUGCUCUUAUUAAAAGUAAUGAUAAAAUUUUUGGGAUUUUUCAUUCAAAUAUUUUUUAUCUUUUUGUAUUUAUUUUUUAGUUUAAUUUUAAUUUUUUAUUUUAAAUUUAUAUUACCCUUUCAUCUAUAUUUUUCUCUUAUUUUUAAUUAUUUUUUUAUAUUUUCUACAUUAACCAUAUUUUAAAAAAUUUUAAAAUUAACUAUCACUUCACUUUAUUAUAUAUAUAUAGCUUUUUAAUUUUAAUGUUUUUAUUUUAAAAUUUUUAAAAAGAUAAAUUUGUUGAAAAAAAUAAUUAAGAUAUGAAGUUCUAAUAUUAUAUUAAUAAUUUUUCUUAUCUAGAUAGAUUAAUGUAAAGUAUUUUGACCCACAACAAGAAAAUUGUCAAUACAAUUUUUUAGUUAAACUUUAAAAAUUAAGUUUCAAAUAAAAUAUAUUAUAUAAAAUUUUAUCUAAAAAUUAUUGAAAGCGGUAUUUAAUUUUUUUAUUUAUUGACUUUCAAACUUAUCUAAUUUAAUUAUUGAAAGCGGUAAUAGAACAUGUUUAAAAAAAAAAAGAAAAUUAGUUUUCAUUUUUUAAAUAAAUGAGUAUAAAUAUAUUAAAAGAAUUAAAGAUAAUUUAAGUAAAAAUUUUGAUAAAUAUGAUUAUAAUUUUAAAUAUAGAUUCAUUUGGAUAAAAUUUCACAAAAAAAAAAAAAUUGGUGAAAAGAAAGAACAUUGCUAAAACUACAAAAACAAAAUAUGCAAUUACAAAAUUUUGAUGAUGAAAUUUAAAAAUAAAAUUCAAAACAAUUAUUGAGUGAGAGAAUUUGAGUGGGGGAAAAAAUCUUUGAGUGGAAAAAAAUAGGAAAGUUUUUCAAAAUCACUUGAAAUCCAUAACAAAAAGUAAUCUUGUACACCUUUGUACAAUUAAUAAAUUUGUCUUAUACAGUUAGUGUAAUACCCUUGUACAAUAACUCAAAUAACUCAAAAUUUUAUUUCUUAUGUGUUAAUUUUUGUAGGGAAUGUCUUAAUGAAAUAGUUUGGUAAAAAAAAGAAAAAAAAAACUAUCAAUAAUCGUCUUAAUAUCAAAUUCAAGUUGUUUAAAAAUUUGUACAAAACUUAUUAGGAGCCUUAUACACCCUUGUACACAUUUCCCUUGUACAAUGACACAAAUUUCAUAUUUGUCAUAACUUAAACAUAUUUUCAAAAAGAGACAAUAUAGAAAAUAAAAAUAAAUAAAAAUAAAAACUAGAAAAAUAUUUUAAAACCAAACUCAAAUAUAAUCUAUAUAAUUUUUAGUUAUUUGUUUUCAUCUAAAACAAGUAAAUAUACAUUUCAACCCUUUUUAUAUAAAAAUAAAUAAAUAAAUCUCUACUAUGUAUUGAUAUAAUCCACUUCUAAAAUUAGGUCAUACGAAAACAUUUUAAUUGAGUACUUAAAAUAAAAACUCUCCAUCCAUCAUCAUUUUAAUCGAGUACUUAAAAUAAAAACUCUCAAUCCAUCCACUUUCUUUAUUUUAAUAAAUUUUCAAUUAAUUCAAAUCAUUAAAAAAAAAUCCUUAAUAAACAAAUUUGUAGCAUUUCAUAUAACUUAUUAUUAAAAGUCAUGUUCAAAAAGUUAUUAAAAUAAGGAAGGAAGAAGAUUUAAAAAAAAAAAUUGAACUUUUUAUUUUAUAAUAGUAAAAAAAAACUUUAAAAUACUUUUUAGUAUAAAAAAAAUUAAAAUAGUGAAUAUAUUUAUUUUAAAUGGUAUUUUAAUCAUUAAAUUAUUUACUUCUAAAAUGUAAAUUAUAAAAAUAAAUGUAAAAGAUAAUUUUUAUUUAUUUAAAUUAAUAUUUUUUUAGAAAAUAUUUUUCAAAAUAGUAUUUGAAUCGUUAAUAUUAUUUUUGUUUAUUUAUAAUUUAAAAAUAAAAAAUAAUGUAAUUUUUCAAUUAUUUAUAAAAGAGUUUUAAAAAAAUGAAAAAUUCAAAAAUGGUUAAAUAAGAAAGAAGAGUGGCAAGUAGUAGAAUAAAGACAAAAAUGAGUCAAGUAUGUAUUUUUGUCAAUUACUAUCUCAUAUCUCUGGGCUUAAAUAUGGGUGGUUGGAGGACCAAAUGUUAAUUUUUGGGCCCAACUGGACCCAAAACAUAAUUCUCCCAAAAGAAAUUUCAAAGUACAGAACAACGUGCCCUUUUAAAGUUUCUGCUUGUUAAAAAUAAAAAAAAAUCCUCAUUUUCCAAUUGUCAUAAAGUCAUCCCAGAAAAGGUGGAUCGUGUCUAUGAAAUUGCCGUGGAGAGGCAACCACUAUCCUCUCCAGUUGAGAGAGAGAGAGUUGAUCGUUUAUAUAAACUUAUUUUACAAAUAUUUGUAUUUUAAUUUUAUCUUCUUUUUUUUAAAGCAUUUUUUUCUCUGAUAGAAAAUUUGAGAAAAAAUGAAAGAAAAAAAAAAGGGAAAAUUAGAAUGAAACAUAAUUUGAAGAAAAAUAAAAAAUAAAUUUAAAAUUAAUUAAUAUCUAAUUUAAUUAUCAAAUUUCUAACUAAUUAUUAGUUAUAUUUUUUUUUGGGUAAAUUAUAUUUUUUUUUUUUGUAUUUUAGGAUAUCCAUAAAUAUAUUAAGAUAUUAUUAUUUUUAAUUUAAUUUAGAAAUAAUUUUAUCUUAAUUAUAUAAAAUAAUUUUUUUUUUCAAAGAUUUAGAAUGUUUAUUUAACACAACAGCAAUUAGAAUAACUUGUCAGUCAUGCUACAUAUCCUUGAAAUAAUGUUGAUGUAACAGUGGGCUUUGUCUAAGCAUGGGCCAUUGUCAUUACACUAAUGGGCUUGGGCCUUUAAAAAAAAGAGAGUUACAACCAAGAAAGAAAAGAGAGAGAAAUAAUGUCUUUCUAGAGGUGAGAUGCAUCACAAAAUGAAAAGUGUAUUUAAUAAUAAUUUUAGAAAAUAUUUUUAAUUUUUAUAAUACUUAAAUAUAAAAAAAUUUAAAUAUUAAAAAUAUUAAAAAUGUUUCAUAAAAUCACUAUAAAAUUCACACAAAGACUUUAUUUAAGAAGAUAAAAUAAAAUAAUGUAUGAGAGGAAGAGAUUUUUUAUGGGAGUGCUUCACGUUUCUCUAAAAUAAAUAUAUAGGUAUGGGAGAGUGACUUUUAUGAAAUAAAUAUAUCAAGGGUUCGUUUGAUUAUCGAAAAAUGUGGGAAAAACAUAUAUAAAGAAAAAAUAAAAUAAAAAAUAAUUUUUUUUAAGUUAAUAAAUUAUUUAAUAUAAUAUCUCAAAUUCAUUUAUUUAUUUCAAUUUUUUACAUAAAAAUUAAAUAAUUUUAAAAUCCAUAAGUUUUUAUCAAUUUUAAUAUUUUGUACUUAAUAUUUUUCAAGAAUGAAACAUAACCUAAAAUAUUGGCUUGAUAUAAGAAAUUUCAAAAUACAUUUCUAGAAAAAACUCAAGGUAUAAUGUGAUCAACAUAGCAAAAAUUUGUGAAGGGUAUAAAAAGUAUGACGUUAAAUUUUAAUAAAAUGAUUCAAAAAUAUAAUUAUUUAAUAAUUAAUUAAACAAAUUGGUCUAUAUAUUUUUAAAUUAUUUAAUUUUUAUAUCCAUGAUUUAAAAUAAACGAAUAAGUGAAAUAAGUUUGAAAUCCUAAGUAACUUUAAAUCUGUUUUUAUUUUUCUUUUCUUCUAUUUUUUUCUUUUAUUUAUUUAUUUUUAUCUAUUUUUUCAAUCAAACAUACCCUAAAAAAUUUUGCACAGAAAACUGAAAUGUAUCACGUUCUAAACCAGGUUGCUAACUUUACUGAUUUUUUUAUUUUAUUUUUGUAUUAUUUACACUUGUAACAAUCUCACUUGCAGUCAUUCAGAAAUAUGGUGGCAAAUGGUUGUUUUCGCGUCAUAGUUUGACCCUUAAAUCAAUAUUGCGUUUUAACUAGCCAUUACUGGGUGGUGAGUCCUAACUAUUGGUUGCCCAUCAUUUCAAAGAUGUGAUUUUUCAAAUGAUUUAUAAAAAUAAACAAUCCAACAUUCUAUUGAAACAUUUAAAGUUGAUACACGAAAUAUCUAGGCUAUAAGUCACUCUCAAACUUCCAUUAAUACGAAAAUCUCAGUUGCCAAACCUUGCCAUAAAAUCAAUUCAGUUCCAUUGUCAUGAAGGAAGAAAGAGUAGCCCAAUCCCAUUUAUGGACUAGAGUUAGUACACCACCACACCACCUUUGUAAUCAAGUAUUACUUUCAUUGUAUUACUAUUUAUACAUAUGGUCAUGCAUAUAUUGUUUAAUUUGGUAGGGAUUUACAAUAUCUGAAUACAUCAUUGAUAAAUCUAAUAUUCACGGAUCCUGAUAUACCAAUUUGUUGAUUUUUUCAUAUUUAUAUUUCAUUGAUAUUUCCGGAUAUUUCACUAAUUUUUUGAUUAUUAAAUAAAUUAAUUUUAAUUAUUUUAUUUUUAUAUUUGAUUUAAUUUAUUAUAUAAAAACGUAAUUUUCUUAAGAGGUUUUUUUGUUUUAUAUAAUCUAUAUAUUUAUUAAAUAUAAAAAUAUGAAUAUUAAUUUUUUAUAUAUAUAUAUUUAUUUAUUUGAUAUAAUUUAUAAUGGAUCAUAAUUUUAAUAUUAAAUAUAUUUUAAAAUUAGACAUAUUAUCAUAAUAAUAUUUUUUAUUGAUAUAGAGGAUAUUAUUAUGAUAAAUUAUAUGUAUUCAUUUUUUUUUUUUAUCAAAAAUAACUUUUAAAUAUCUAUUUUUUACUUCUUAUAUAAUAUUUUAAAGUUUUUUUAAUUAAUUUUUAUAAUAUUUUAUGAAUACCAUAAUUACUGAUAUUUUUAUCAAUGAAAUCUUAACUAUUGAUUGCCCAUCAUUGCAAAGAUGUGACAAGAUCUAAAACAAAUGAUUUUUCAAAUUACCUGUAAAAAUAAACAAUCCAACAUUUUUAAGAAAGGCGUGAAUGCCUUUCUUUCUUAUACAAGGGAGAUGCAUUGAAACAUUCAAGGCUGAUGCACUAUUAAUUAUAUAGAAAUAUAUAGGUUAUAAGUCACUGUCAUACUUUCAUUAAUACGAAAAUCUCAAUUAUCAAACCUUGGAAAGUACCAUAAAAUCAGUUCGAUCCAUUGCCGUGAAGGAAGAAAGAGCGACCCAAUCCCAUGCAUGGACUAGAGUUGUACGCCACCACUCCACCUUUGUAAUUAAGUAUCAGUCUCAUUGUAUUACUAUUUAUGCAUAUAGCCCGUGUGUAUAAAUAGCCCAUGUUGGAGCUAGGUUUCUUUCCUCCUGGCUUCCAUUAUUCGUGCGCUAACCUACAAUGCAAGGUUCACCUUGACCUGGUAGUAUCCGGACAGACCCCUCCGAUUGUCAAGUCAUUUGGAGAUCUGGGGUGGUUACCUUCCGAUAUUGCCCUUCGUGUUUUCCCACGUUUCUUACUAGGUCAAACACUUUGAGCAGGCCUCCAGGUUAUGCCCAUAAUUUCAGGCCCCAUGGGGUGCCUACUGCCCAUGCAUGGGUUGUUUGGUAGGAAUGGAAGUGAUACUUCACUUGUACAUCCAUGGCGCGCACACACACUAGAAAAUAAAGAAGAUUUUGAAAUUUAAUCAUAUUUUUCAAACAUUAAGGGGAAAAGCUGAUCCACCAUAUUAUGUGAAACUAUAUACUAUGCAUUUAAAUUUAAUAAAAAAAUCAAAAUAUAUUCUUGAUAUUUUUAAUCAUUUAUUAUAAUAACCCAUAAAAAAAUAUUUGAAAACAUUUAAAAUCUAUUUUUAAAAAACAAUAUGAUUUUAUAAUAAAGUUUAGAAAAAAACCAUUGUAAACCCCCUUUCAGAAGACCAAAGACUAUUAGUUCUUUUAGGGCCAUCAUCACAUCUACGUUCGGCGUUCGGAGCCAUCGUUAUCACUUCUCAGUGUCGGUGUUAAGAGCCAUCCUCGUCGCAUUUUCAGUUUCGACGUUCCGAGCCAUCAUCUCAUCUUCGUUCGCGUCCAGAGCCAUCGUUAUCACUUCUCAGUAUCGGCAUUCAGAGCCAUUGCCUACCUUUGUUUCGGCGUUCAGAGUCAUGUUUCACUUCGUUUGGUGUUCGGAGCCAUAUUUUCGCUCGGCGUUCAGAUCCACUUCUUCAUUUGACGUUCAGAGCCACUACGUCACUCAUUUCGGCAUUUAGCGUCCUGUUUUGUUUCAUUUUGACAUUCAGAGCCAUUACUUAUCUUUAUUUUGACGUUCAGAGCCGUGUCUUGCUUCGUUUGGCAUACAGAGCUAUAUCUUCGUUUGACAUUCGAAUCCACUUCUUCAUUCGGUGUUCAGAGCCACUGCAUAUCGUUCGUUUCGACGUUCAGAGCCACGUCUUCAUCUGCGUUCAGGACCAUUAUCUGUUUAUUAUUAUUAUUAUUAUUAUUAUUUAGUGUUUCGAGUGGAGGGUUUAGUUCGACACUCAGAGUCCUCAUGUCUAUCUUUCGUUCGAUUCAUCACCAUUUUCCUCAUUUCUGGCGUUCAGAGCCAUUGGGCACACUCUUUCGGGCCUUUUGAGCCAUUUAUUUUCUUUAAUUUUAACGUUCAGAGCCACUGUUAUAUUUGACGUUUGCCGCCACUACCACAUUUUUUCUUUUAGUUUGGCUUUCAAAGCCGUUUUUCAUACCCAUUCGUGCAUUUUGAGUCAUCAUCUUUCUUAGUUUUGGCAUUCAGAACCAUUGUUCUGUUUGACGUUCAGUGCCACCGUCAUUCUCUAGUUUGGCGUUCAGAGCCAUUGUACACAUUCAUUCGAAGACCUUGAGUCAUCAUCUUUCCGUGUUUUGACGUUUAGAGUCAUUUCUCCUCGACUGUAUCAUUCAGGGUCACAGCCCCUGGCAUUCGUAUUCGCUGACAUUAUACGUCUUGACUCCAUGGCUUUGCAUAUAUCCUUGUUUUCCUCACCGCGUUACCCUGUGCUUAUCGCUUAUUAGUCAUUGCUCUUCCAGAAUUCUCUUUUCAUUGCCCCUGACACGGUCCUUUGAGUUUAUGACACAUAUUUCGGUCAUGUUGUUGGGCACCCUAUGCUUGGCACUUUCAUGUAGUUUUCUUCGGGCAGUCUUCUUGGGACACUUUCUUUAUAGUACUCCAGAGUGGUUCGACAGUUACUCAUCUUUGAUAUGGUUUUUCGAGUCACUUAUGGAGACGUCUUAAAAAAAGUCUGGAUCCUUUAGUGUGGCUUCAAAGUCAUUUUGAGACAUCGUUUUCUUUUAGGAUUAAAGCCUUUAUGUUCGUCUAUUGACCUGAGUAAGUCCGUGUUUCACUGGUGUCCCUAUGGGGGUCUCUUUGUUUCUUCGGUAGAGUUCACUUCAUUCCACUCAUUAUUCACACUUUCUUUUUACUCUAGUAUUCAUAUUCCUUACAUUUGUAAAUUCUACCGAAGAUGGGCAUAUUUGUAGACCCCCUUUCAGAAGACCAAAGACUAUUAAUUCUUUUAGGGAUUUUUUUUUAGCAUGGAGGGAAUGCUAUUUCACCACUUGGUAUACCUGGUAGCACCCGAGAAGUGUGGGGGGACCCCUCUCCAUGCAUGGAUCCCAACUGCAUGCAGACGGUAGGGGACAUGAUGGUCGGAUGAAGGUGGUUGAGGAGCCCAUACCUGCUGAGGGGAUGAACAGAGAAGUAGGUAAUGGCUUGCCCAAGAAGAUAGAGAGAAGGGGGGGGGGGGGGGCAGAAGAAUUUUUUGGAAAAAAAAAAAAAACCGGAAAAAGAACUGAAGGCAAGGAGGGAGCCAGAUGUCUGAAAAAGGGGGAGGGGAAUCCCAAAAGAAAGGAGAAACCUGGAGGGGGAGAAGGGGGAGAGGGAUGAUAUUUUCCCUGGGUCUUGGGCUCCCUUGGAGUAUAUGAACUCCCUAUUUUUCUCUUAAUAGUUUUGAGUAAAUAUCAUCCGGGUAUAUGUUUCGUUUCCUGGGUCAUAAUUAUGGGUUGGGAGCUGCCAUCUCUUUCCUAUUUUUGGGUUGGUUGGGNNNNNNNNNNNNNNNNNNNNNNNNNNNNNNNNNNNNNNNNNNNNNNNNNNNNNNNNNNNNNNNNNNNNNNNNNAGAGAGGUAUGAUAUUUACCAUGGCUCGAGCUGAGGGCAAGGAGGGAGCGAGAUGUCUGAGAGAGGUGGAGGGGAAUCCAGAGAGAAAGGAGAAGCCUGAAGGAGGAGAAGGGAGAGAGGUAUGAUAUUUACCAUGGCUCUUGGACUCACUUGAUGUAUAUGAUCUCCUUAUUUUUCUCUUAAUAGUUUUGAGUAAAUAUCAUCUGAGUAUAUGUUUCGUUUCAUGGUUCAUAGUUAUGGUUUGGAUGCUGCUAUCUCUUUCAUAUUUUUGGUUUGUUUGGAGAGCAAUGAAGCUAUGUUUUAACCUCCUCUUCAUGGCCAUUACCAUGCUCAUCAUCCACCCCCCAAUACCCACACUGUCACGCACUAAUAUACCAACUCCAUUUCAUCACCAUCCGACAUUCCAUGCAUGGCCGUCACCCUUACCCAUCUUCCCCAUCAUCUUUUCUCUCUCUAGCCGACAUACUCAUCCCUCACCCACGUGCGCGGAACCUGGUAUACCUGGCUGCCCACCAUGCCCGUGUUCAGCUCGUCUCCACAAGAACCCCCAAAGCCGCCCGUCUACACGCGUGUGUCCCAUGCACGCAAGCCGCCCUGUCCCUCUUUUUUUUUUUUGCUGCAUGCACCGCGUCGACAAGGCCCCUGCUCCUUACCAGCCACCAUCACCCGCUCUAGUCAUGCGGGCAUUCGCACCAGCCGCCAUGGCGGCAACAUCUCUUGGAUGCCACGGGACUGCCGCCACUGCUCCUCUCUCCAUGGUGCCGCUGGCGGUGGGAGCUUCCUCUGAGGAUGAUAUCCAGGCGGAGGGGCAAGCUAUGAAGGAGAUGAAGUCUUGGGCUUGAGAAGAAGCCCAACCCAAUCAUGUUGAUGGAACCAUGUCAUCUCAAAUAAGUGGGCUGUGAGAGGAAAUGAUGCCUUGGGCUUGCCCAUGAUGAGAAUUGAUUUGGGCUUUAGUGGGCUGGACCCAGAUGAAAGGUCCAAGCUUGUCAUGAAGGUAAUGGGUGCCUUGGGCUUGCCCAUGGCAAGGACUUUGGGCUUAAGUUGGAGCCCAGGCCCAAAAGUUGCUGAUGAAAGGCCCCAUUGCUCCUUAAGCCAAUCACCCUCAUGGCCCGAGUCCAUGUUGAGUUAGCCCAUUUGGUUGCCUUAAUUCCAAAAAAAUCUCUAUACCUCUAAUCCUUCAAAAAUCUCAUGGCUUAAUUUAAUUUUCCAAUAGAUUCGUUUAAAUCUCAUUUUCAUCAAUUAGGACUAUUAUCAUAUACUUAUCUAACUAUUUAAAGCCUAAAUCUUUCAAGGAAAUCAUAUGCCUUAAUUUAAUUUUCAAUAAUUAGUUCAAAUCUCAUUUUCAUCCGUUAAAAUUAUUUAUCCCAUAUUUAUCUAGCUAUUUAAAGUCUAAAUCUUUCAAGGAAAUCAUAUGCCCUAAUUUAAUUCUUCAAUAAUUAGUUCAAAUCUCAUUUUCAUCCGUUAGGAUUAUUUAUCUCAUAUUAUCUAGCUAUUUAAAGUCUAAAUCUUUCAAAGAAAUCACACAUCUUAAUUUAAUUUCUCAAUAAUUAGUUCAAAUUUUAUUUUCAUCCAUUAGAAUUAUUUAUCCCGUAUUAUCUAGCUAUUUAAAGUCUAAAUCUUUCAAAGAAAUCACAUAUCUUAAUUUAAUUUUUCAAUAAUUAGUUCAAAUAUCAUUUUCAUCCAUUAGAAUUAUUUAUCUCAUAUUUAUCUAGCUAAUUAAAGUCUAAAUCUUUCAAAGAAAUCACAUAUCUUAAUUUAAUUUUUCAAUAAUUAGUUCAAAUCUCAUAUUCAUUAGAAUUAUUUAUCAUAUACUUAUCUAGCUAUUUAAAGUCUAAAUCUUUCAAAGAAAUCACAUAUCUUAAUUUAAUUUUUCAAUAAUUAGUUCAAAUCUCAUUUUCAUCCCUUAGAAUUAUUUGUCACAUAUUUAUCUAGCUAUUUAAAGUCUAAAUCUUUCAAGGAAAUCACACAUCUUAAUUUAAUUUUUCAAUAAUUAGUUCAAAUCUCAUUUUCAUCCAUUAAAAUUAUUUAUCCCGUAUUAUCUAGCUAUUUAAAGUCUAAAUCUUUCAAAGAAAUCACAUAUCUUAAUUUAAUUUUUCAAUAAUUAGUUCAAAUCUCAUUUUCAUCCAUUAGAAUUAUUUAUCCCAUAUUUAUCUAGCUAAUUAAAGUCUAAAUCUUUCAAAGAAAUCAUAUAUCUUAAUUUAAUUUUUCAAUAAUUAGUUCAAAUCUUAUUUUCAUCCAUUAGAAUUAUUUAUCAUAUGCUUAUCUAGCUAUUUAAAAUCUAAAUCUUUCAAAGAAAUCACAUAUCUUAAUUUAAUUUUUCAAUAAUUAGUUUAAAUCUCAUUUUCAUCCAUUAGAAUUAUUUAUCUCAUAUUAUCUAGCUAUUUAAAGUCUAAAUCUUUCAAAGAAAUCAUACGUUUUAAUUUAAUUCUUUAAUAAUUAGUUCAAAUCUCAUUUUCAUCCCUUAGAAUUAUUUAUCCCGUAUUAUCUGGCUAUUUAAAGUCUAAAUCUUUCAAGAAAAUCAUACGUCUUAAUUUAAUUCUUCAAUAAUUAGUUCAAAUCUCAUUUUCAUCCAUUAGAAUUAUUUAUCCCAUAUUUAUCUAGUUAUUUAAAAUCUAAAUCUUUCAGGGAAAUCCUAUGUCUUAAUUUAAUUCUUCAAUAAUUAGUUUAAAUCUCAUUUUCAUCCAUUAGAGUUAUUAUCCCAUAUUCAUCUAAUUAUUUAAAGUCUAACCCUUCAAAAAUCUCAUGUCUUAAUUCAAUUUUUCAAUAGUCCGUUCAAACCUUAUUCGUCUAAAUGUUAUUUUCCUUAAGUAAAAUUAUUAUAGUAUAUUUAUUUAUUUAUUUAUUUAUUUAAAGUCCAAUUCUUCAAAAAUCCAACGUCCUAAUUUAAUUUUCGAUCUCAAAAAUCCCACUACUCAUUUUUCAUUCAUUUAAAUAUUAUUUUCAUUAAAUUAGCAUUAUUAUCCCAUACUUAUUUAUUUAUUCCAACCAUUAAAGUUUAAUUCAUCAUAACCCGACUUCCAAAUCUAAUUUUCAAUCUCAAAAGCUCCACCGUCCCUAUAUUGUCGUUUAACGAUUAUUCUCGUUAUUAAUGUUAUCUCAUCCACUUAUUCAGUUAUUCAUAUACCAAAGAUCUCGUCCCUAAAUAUUUUCUUAAAUUUUCAAUCUAUGAGUUUAAUCUCCAAUCUCUAAAAAUUCCAUCUCUCGUAAUUAUUUACCUGAUCUUUAUUAUUUCACCAUCCCAUUCAUUUACUUACUCACUCAUUCGCUUAUCCACUCGUUUAAAAUCCCGAACUCUCAAAUCAUUUUUCAAAUUUCCAACCUCGUUCAAAUUCAAUUUCUAAUAUUCUCGUUCUCACAUUUAGUUUCUAAAAGUAUGAUCUUCAAAUAAACUUUAAAAUUCCAAUUUUUAAAUAACCAUCGGGACUCCAAUUUUUCAAAUGAAUUUCAAAUAUCCGAUUUUCUCUCAAAUAGUUUUAAUUUCAUUCUGGUCUUCAAACAAUCUUCUGCUCCUCUUGAUUUUAAUAAGCAUGAACGAAUUUUUCAUAAUUCCAAAAUAAUGGAGUCUGUGACGUUAAGUCAUGCAAAUAUAAACGGGUUUUAGUGGGAGCCCAACAUGGGUGACUUUAUGAUUGAUUGAUUGAUUGUUUGAUUUAAUUAUCAUACACGAUUGGUUUAUCCUACUCUCUAACAUGCAUGCGAUUAUUCCUAAAUUGUGCACUAACCCUCUCUAUUGAUAGCGCAUGGUGGCUCGUUGCCCAGGUAUGUACCCAUUUUCCCUCUAAUCGUUGUCUAUGCAUGUCUCGAUUCUUAUAUGUGCAUGAUCAUUCAGGAUAUUCAUUGAUUUACUCAUCAAUUGUCACGUCAGCUUCAUUUUAUUAGUAGAGACCCAACUUUAGGGACUUACAAGGGUGCUACGGCCUUUACCGUACCUUCCCGAUAAGUAACCUGACCCCCAAACCGGAUCCGGUUUUUCGUAAAUCACCUUUUCCAAAAUAAGGAGUCGUACUUAGGGUUUUCUUUCUUAUUUUGUUUACUCUUUUAAAAAUAAAAUAAAAAUAAGUGAUGACUCUCAGUCAUUUUCUUAAUCAAUAAAAAUUGUUUUUCAAAUAAAAAUCGAGCUCACCAUCCAGUGGGAAACGUAUGAGCCGAAAUGCGGGGCCACAACCAUUAUCAAUCAUAUUUUUUAAAAAAAAAACUAUUUACUUAAUUACUUUAUUCACCACCAAAGAUUUUCCUCGUCUCUUGGCAUAUAAGCUCAUGGGUCGAAGUUCCACGAAACUCCAGGGUACAACAAGGGGUAAAAAGGUCACAUAUCACAGUCACUUCCCAAAUACGUAUGAAUUGAUUUCGUGCAAUCCAUCAUCUUCAAGAAACAAGAGGCGAGAGAGCCGUUUCACGUACUGAAUUUGGGUGUUGUGGUGAGUCUCAUGGACAACUGGACUCGAAAAUGAUCCGACUCUUUUAUGUCGUCUCGGCAUUAUUAAUUUCCGCAAAUCCAUCACAUUGCGCCCCGUACGUUUCUGUUAGGAUUCUUUCAAAUAAUUUUUCACGUAUCCGAUUACUAGUCUAUCUGAAAAAGCAGAUAUUUCAAAUUGUUGGCCCCGCUUUCAUCUAUAAUUAGCCUUAUUAGUCAAAUAAUUCACACUACUCAUUGUUCAUGCUCACAGAAGCACUUAUCUCACUAUUCAAGUGGAAUGGUUGGGCAACUUCACCACUACUCUAUGAAUAUAUUUUAUAUGUUUUGAGCACUUCUGGCUUUGAAUAAAGCAUUUUUUAUAGUCAUAUUUGUACACCUAAUUUUCAUAUGAAGUCAUAUUUGUACAGCUAAUUUUCAUAUGAAGUCAUAUUUGUACAGUUAGUUUCCAUAUGAAUCGAGAGGAGGAAAAGAGAAAAAUGUGAAAUGGCCAACCUUUUCCAUACGUGAAAUAUUGGUAGUCCAAUGCAGGCUCCUUUUUUUUGAAUGGAAAAUAACUAUAUUCAAAAGGAUGAAUUCUCCGGAAUGGGUGAAUUUCAGGAUUGGGCCUUAAGUGCUUUAGCAAAUGUCAAGUAAGCGUACGUGAAGAUAUAAACAGCGAGUCAGGAUCCUUUUUUUACACAGCCUCCUCCCAUUCGCCUUUAGCCACUUACGCGUGAAUUCCGCGCUUAGAACAAUUUUAACAUCUCAUGCAAUGCUGGUCCACCAAAGAAUCCAAUCAAAAUGCUAUAAUUCAAUUCAUUACCACGGAAUCUCAAACCUGUUGAUUCUUCUCAUAUCAAAAAGCAACUCAAUUAUGGACAACUUUUCUUCUUUUUCUCCAUCAAAUACUCAUGGUGGUAGAUGCCUCCUUUCUUUAUCUCCCUAUAUAUAUUUAUUUAUAUAUCUUUCCCACAGACAAAACCACUUCCAAAGCUCUCUUAACCAGCCAUGGGUUCCAACCACAAGAGUCUCCAGGCAAUAUUGGGCGCACCAGGAGUGAGGGGUAAGAGGGUAACGGCUCUAUCAAAAGAUGGAUUAACUGAUUUUGUGCUUUCCAUGAUCUCCAAGAAACAAGAGCUCAAAGAGCCAUUUUAUGUGCUUGAUUUGGGUGUGGUGGUGAGUCUCAUGGAGAAGUGGUCUCGGGCUCUGCCUCUGGUUCGACCCUUUUAUGCUGUCAAGUGCAACCCGGACCCCACAUUUCUUGCUGCACUAGCGGCUCUCGGCUCAAGCUUUGACUGUGCUAGCCGCACGGAGAUUGAGACCGUUUUGGGUCUUGGAGUUUCUUCGGAUCGGAUUAUUUUUGCAAACCCAUGUAAAGCCGAGUCUCAUAUCAAGUACGCCGCAAGCGUAGGCGUUAACUUGACAACUUUUGAUUCAAGGGAUGAAAUCGAGAAAAUUCGAAAAUAUCACCCGAAAUGUGCCUUAUUGAUCCGGGUGAAACCUCCGGAGCACGGUGUCCAUUAGAGUCCAAGUACGGUGCACUCCCUGAGGAGGUGACGCCGCUCCUCCAGGCUGCACAAGACGCUCGGCUCACUGUCUCCGGCGUGUCUUUCCAUAUUGGUAGCGGCGCCACCCUUGCGCAGGCCUACCGGGGGGCGAUAGCUGAAGCGAGGGCGGUGUUUGAUACAGCCUCGCGGCUCGGCUUGCCUCGAAUGCAUGUGCUCAAUAUCGGUGGCGGCUUUACAUCUGGGCCGCACUUCGAUGACGCCACUUCUGCUAUCAAAUCGUCUCUCCAAGCCUACUUCCCUAACGAACAUGGGUUAACCAUCAUAGGCGAGCCAGGCAGGUACUUCGCCGAAUCGGCUUUCACUCUAGUCACCAAUAUUAUUGGGAAGCGUGUGAGGUCGGAGCUGAGGGAGUACUGGAUCAACGACGCAUUUACGGCUCUCUGAACUGUAUACUAAACGACCAUGCAACUGUGACCGCGAAGCCUCUCGCUUGCACUUCCAAUAGCGUGAACCCCACGUGCCGUCGAGUUAGGACUUACUCCUCUACAGUGUUUGGACCCACGUGCGACGCACUUGAUACAGUUUUGACCGGUCACCAGUUGCCAGAACUGCAGGUCAAUGAUUGGCUGAUGUUUCCUAGAAUGGGAGCUUAUACCGCUGCUGCCGGGUCCAACUUCAAUGGGUUUAACAUGUCCGCGGUUACGACCCACCUAGUCUACUCGAAUCCAACCUGAGACGUGGUGCUUUUUGGAUGGUUGUUGACAAUCUUUUCCUUCUUGUCCCUUAUGGAGAAAUUUACGUAAGAAAAUCGAUUGUGUCUUUGCUUUGGAGUUUGGAAUAUUAAUAAUAAACAUGGAUUGUUGUAAUGGUGUGCUUUAUAAUUUAAUUAAACUAUUUUCCUUAUCCAUUUCUAGAAAACAGAAAUCAUAUAAUUUCUUUUCUUACUGGAUUGUACAUGUAAAAAGUUCAAUUCUUCUCAAAAAGUCAAAAUCACCAUGGUUAUCUUAAAAAAAUAAAAAUAAAAAACAAAAAUUGACAUGUGGUAACCACCCAUGUCAUAUAAUUUCUCUUUAUUUAUUUAUUAUGUUUGUCAAUUUUUUUUAAGCUUGACAUAUGUCCCAAAUUAUUUUUAUUUUUAUUUUCUCUUUCUUUAUUUUAGUUUUUUUAGUUUUUUUUUUUAUAUGUUAGUUACAUUUUUUUUAUGAAUUUUUUAAUUCUUUUUUUUCAUUCUUUCAUCUUUUUAUUUUAAUUAUUUAUGAACCCUUGAAAUAUAAAAUAAUAUAUAAUAUAUAAUAUAUAAUAUAUAAUAUAUAAUAUAUAAUAUAUAAUAUAUAAUAUAUAAUAUAUAAUAUAUAAUAAAUAAUUAAUGAAAAAUUUUAAUAUAAUUUUUAUUUUUUAUUCAUAUAAAAUAAAAAUAAAAAAUAAAAAAUAUUUUUUCAUGCACAAUUUGUAUUUAAUAAUUUAUAUUAAUUUUUUCUUAGUUUUAUUAAAAAAUAAUUUUUUUUUGCAUAGUGAAAAUUGUGCAACACAACUCUUAGAAAAAAAAGGAUAUCACUCUUUUAUAAAAAAAAAUAACAUUAAUUAGUAUAGCUCUUAGAAAAUAAGGUAUUACUCUUUUAUGAAAACCGUAACAAAUUGUUAAAGGUAUACUUAACACACUUGAGUAUUAUUAUUAUUUUAUAUAAAAAACAAAAGUAAUAUCCUUUUUUUCCAAUGGUUGUGUCUAUUUGUGCACAAUUUGAGUGUGCAAAAAUUUUAAUUUUUAAUAAUUUUUUAAAAAAUAAUAUAAAUGAUUAGAUACAAUUUUUUAACAAAAAAUUAAAAUUUUUAAUAAAAAAAUGUUAGAACCACAACCAAGUUUUUAUCCUCUUUAAUUAAAAAUAUUAAAUAUUUUAAUUAAGAAAAAAGUUAAAACCACAAUCAAAUUAAAUUCAUAAGCAAAAAGUUAAAACCAUAAUCAUCAAUUUUGAUUUUAUUAUGAAAAAUUGAAAAUUUUAAAAAAUAAAAAUAUUAAAAUAAUAUGACAAUGUAAUAAGAUUUAUAAAAUAAAUAAAUAUUUUUUAGUAGCAAUCUAAAAAUCUUAUAUUAUAAAUCUCUAAAUUUGUUCAUUGUGUAUUUAUUUUUAUAUUAAAUUUGUUUUCAUUAGUUAUUAAUUAUUUAUUUUUAUUUUAUAUUUAAAAUGUUCUUAAAUAAUUGAAAUCAAUGCAUAUGAAGUGAUGAAAUUGUGAAAAAAAAAUUAAAAUUUUAAAAUUUUGAUAAAGCCAACACAUUAAAAAAAGCAAAAAAGGUAUUUUUAACUUUUGAAAAUAGUUUUUGAAUUUUUAUAAAACAAAAGUCUAUUUGAAAACUUAAAAUAUUUUUAACACAUUUUUAAUAUUUUUAAAUAUGUUUGAAAAAUAAAUUUUAUAUCUGGUGUUUUAUUUUUUUAUUUAUUUUUUUUUAUCAUUUUACAUGUUUUUGUAUGAUUAUUUUGUUAAAAUAACUCUUAAAAAAUAAGUAAAAAUAAAAAAAAAAAUAUUUUACUUUUUAUUCUUAAUAAAAAAUCAUUUUUAAUUGUUAAUUUUUUUUUUUUUAUCUUUUAAAUAAUAAAAAACUAUUCUAAAAAAUAAUUUUCAUGAAUCCUAUUGAGAUGCUCUUACUUAAGCAACUAUCUCUAACAAAUUAUUUGGUCCUAUUUGUUAUUAAUGGGAUCAAGAAUACUUUCAAUAAGAAAUAUAUUGAAGAGUUGGUGCAGGGUAAUAAUGGGAUCAGAGUUUAUGAAAAGUCUGAUCUAAAAUUCCUAAAAAAAAAUUAGCCUUUUAUUAUUAAAUCAACAAUGAUCCGGUAAAAGGGGAUUUAAGCUAGGUUCAAUAGAAAAUAAGACAAUUAUGUUUUGGACCUACUUGAGUAAAAAAAUUAAGCUUUGGUCUGUAUAAGUUCACCAUUUAAGUUCAAGAUCUAGAAGAAGUGUGAAAAUUGAUAGGAAGGAUAUGAAUUUUUUAUCUUUCAAAAAAUGAUAUUUAUUGACUAUGAAAAAAGGAAAGUAGAAAAGCAUUAAUUUAAAUUUUAUUUAUUUUGUAAACCUCAAUAAAAUUUAAUUUAAUUUAGUGAUUUGGAAAAAAAUAUACCAUUUUCCAAAAACAUAAAAAUAAAAAUAAAUUAUUAUUAUUAUUAUUAUUUAAAAAUCAAACAUCUUAGAAAAUAUCUAUCUUUAAAAUUGUGUAUAUAAAAAAUAACUAAAAAUAUGUCAAAAUUAUUUUUUUUAAAUGAUGUAUUUUUAGAAUAUAUUUAAAAAAAAUUAGUUUUCUAAAAAUAAUGAAUUUUCAAAAUAAUUAUUAAAUAAAUAAAUAAAAAAGUUUAUCAAAUAUUAUGAUAGAAAAUACUCAAAAUAGUUUUGAAAUGCAUAUUGGUUUCUUCAUAUUUUAUAUUAUUUUUAUCAAUUAUAUAAUUUUUAUGUGUCAAAUCUUAAGUUUUUGGCUAAUUGGGUCAAAAGCACAAUUAUGCCGGGGGGAAAUAUGGAUGGAAAAGUUGUUGGUUAGGAACUUAGGACACAGAUUAUAAACUUUUUGUACGUGGUAUGCCUACCUUUUUUGAAAUAUUUCCAAUCGCUUUUAUAGACAAGACGAAUUGUUGGAAGUAUAGCAUCGAACAAGUAGACGUAGCUGUUGACUUGUAUGGCGAAACAAUGUUCUAUCAAAUCGGUCAAACUCUCCCAUUUCUGGCCGCUUCUCCAGUUCUCCUUCGUGAUUGAUAACGAGGUGAGGCCCACAUCCCAACAUAUCAUAUCUUACAUGGGCUGAUGAUUUUCCUACGUGGCCAUCAAACAAAUAAAGAAAAAUGGAAAGGGAGAAUCACGGCCACAUAAAAAUAAAAUAAAAUUUAAAUGUUAGAUUUUUAACUUUGGAAACAAAACACGUACAUUUUGGAAAAAUUUCCAAAAACUAGUCUCUCUACCCAUCACUCCUACCCCCCAUCACCUACUUAUUUUUAUUCUCUCUACCCAUCUCUCCUACUCCCAUCACCUACCUAUUUUUAUUUUUAUUUUUGACACGUCAGAGAGCAUCAUGAUUAUCUUAAAAAAAAAAAACACCUUUGAAAUGUGGCAACCAACCACUGGCACAUGAUUUAUUUAUUUUUUCAAUUUACUAGCUUCAUGAAAUUUUUUUAAUUUCAAUUUUUUUCACCACUUCAUAUUAAUUGAUUUUUAUUAUUUUAUUGAUAUUUUAAACAUAAAAUAAUAAUUUAUGAUAAAUAAUUAAUGAAAAUAAAUUGAAUAUUAAAAUAAAUACAUAACUAAUAAAUGUAGAGGUUUAGGAUAUAAGAUCUUUUAUAUUAUGUUAAAAAAAUAUUUAUUUAUUUUAUAAAUCUUAUUAUAUUGUGAUCUUAUUUUAUUAUUUGUAUUUUUAAAAAUUUUAAAAAUUUCAUGUGACAAUCAAAAUUAAUGAUCACGACUUUACCUUUUUGAUCAUGGUUCUAAAUUUUUGAUUGAUUAAAAUAUUUAAUUGUUUAUUGGUUAAAAUAUUUAAUUGUUUAUUUAUAUGAAAUAAAAAUAUAUUUUUCAUAACAAAUUGUAUUUAAUAAUUUAUAUUAAUUUUUUAAAAUUUUAUUAAAACUUUAAUUUUUUACUUACCAAGUACUGAAACCAAUUUAGAGUGUUUAGGAAGGUGUUAAUUUUUUUUUUGUGUACUUCAAAGAUGUGUAAUUUUAGUAUGCAAAAAUAUUAAAGAUACUUGAAAGAUGUAUAAAUUUAACAUGGAAAAUUUUUAAAUCUGUUAUAAAAUAUAUAGUUUAUUUUAUAUUUUAUAUAAAUAAAAAAUUAAAUAUCUUUACCAAGAAAAAAGUUAAAAUCAUAAUAAAAAGGCUAGAACUAUGAUUAUUGAUUUUGAUCUUCACAUGAACAUAUAAAAAUUUCAAAAAAUAUAUACAAUAAAAUAAUAUGGCAACAAUAUUUUUAUUUAAUUUAAAUAUGAUAAGAUUUAUAAAAAUAAAUAAAUAUUUUAUUAUUUUUAUUUAAUAUUGAUAUAUAAAAUCUUAUAUCGUAUACUUCUAAAUUUGUUCAUGUAUUUAUUUUUUUAUUAAAUUUAUUUUCAUUAAUGAUUUAAUAUAUAUAUAUAUAUAUAUAUAUAUAUAUAUAUAUAUAUAUAUAUAUAUAUUAUUAUUUUAUGAUUAAAGUGUUUAUAAAUAAUUUAAAAAUAAAUAUGAAAAACAUAUUUUAUUUUUAUUUGAUAUAAAUAAAAAUUACAAAUUUUAACAAUGCAAAAUAUUAGAACUAAAGCUAAGUUUUUAUCUUUUAUAAUUAAAAAUAUUAACAUUUUAACUAAAAUAAAAGAAGUUAAAAACACAGUUAAUUAAGAUCAUAAACAAAAAAACUAAAAUUAUGAUUAUUAACUUUAAAUUUUAUAUGAAAAUUUAAAAAUUUUAAAAAUAUAAAUAAUUAAUAAUAUGACAAUGUAACAUUAUUUAUAAAAUAAAUAAAUAUUUUAUUUAAUAGGAACAUAGAAAAUCUCAUGUUAUAAACCUUUAUUUUUUUAUUUUUAUAUUAAAUUUGUUCUCCUAUUUUCUUAUUAGGCUUUCACCUUAUAAAUUAGUUGUGUACACAUUAUUUUUUUUAAAGAAAAUAUAAGAAAAAAAUUAUAAUUAUUGUUUUUAUUAUAGAAAAUAAAAAAAUCAAAUUUAACCAAAUUUAACUAAGAUUCUUGCAAUUUUUUUUGUAAAUUAUUUUAAUUUUGUAUAUGAAAAAUAAAAAAAUAAGUUAAAUAAAUUAAAAAUAACAUAUGAAAUAAUUCAAUGGUUUUAAUCUAUCUUUUGUAUUAUUUUUCGUCUUCUACUUUUUUUUUUCCCCUUCACAUUUUUUGAAACUUAAACAUGAUAAAAAAAAAAAAAAUAGUUUUAGUUUGAGAUUAGAUUAGCUAAAUUCAAAAUUUAAAUUGAUUUUUUUUAAUAGGAAUUUAAUUAUGGCAUAACCAAAAGGAAAAUGUGAUCGUAUCUGGAAUUAAAGAUCAAAAUUGUUAUUUAAUAACAGGUAAACGAUUAAAAAAUUAUCUAAAAACAUCUGAUUGACGCAAUCAACCACGUGGCGACAAAAGAGUUUAGGUGAACAUGCGGCUCUCACGCAAUAUAAUCUUGGCCCGCUUGUGUUUUAGACGCGGGCCGGACUGGCCCAUUUUCAGCCCAUAAUAUUUGGGAUAAGUAGAAUAAAAUCCAAAAAUCAAAGGGAAAACAGCCAGAACCCCAGGUGAGCAAAGACCAGCUAUUCCGUCUAUUUUUUUGUGUCAUCACGCCAUGGAAGCUCUGAGUUCCUCUGCAACAAUCAUAGCUGCUUCAUCGUCAUCUCCAUCGAUUUUCUCCCCAAGGAAAAGAGACUCACCAAGAUUCCUUCGAGUCAACGUUUCUCCAAAAGGUAAGAUCUCACCACAGCAUCUGCCAUCAUUUCUGAUUUCUUUCGUUUUCUUUUCUCUUUUUGUGAAAUUAACAAUAGAAUAUGGUUUUGAAUCAGAUAACGGGAACGAUUCCGAUGUCCGAUCCGAAUCGGAUGAGUCAAGCUUGGUUCCCAUCCUGACGAAUCGUACUCUCUCGAAGGUGAGUUCCUGUUAACGAAAUCCUGUUCAAUUUUUAUUUUUAUAGUAAUUUAGGGUUUAUUUUUUAGGCUUAUUUUUUUUGGAAAUUUUCUUAGGAUGCGGCGAUGGGGUUGGUUCUGAGUGCGGCGUCGGUGAGAGGUUGGACGACGGACUCUGGUAUGGAAGGUCCUUCGGUUCCGGCGGCGGCGGAGGCCCGAUCCAGUACGGAGAGGAUCUCAACCUUCCCGUGGUCCCUCUUUACCAAAUCGCCACGUCGAAGGAUGCGCGUUGCCUUCACUUGCAAUGUUUGCGGUCAGCGGACCACUCGUGCCAUCAAUCCUCAUGCUUACACCGAUGGAACCGUUUUCGUCCAGGUAAUUUUUUCUCCCUGUCCUCUGUUUGGUUGAUGGGAAAAGAUAAUAGAAAAAUAAAAUAAAAUCAAUAUCUUGUUUUAUGUUAUUUGUUUCCAAAUAAUGAAAACAACUUGCCUGAAUAAAGCAUUAUGUAAGGCUCAAUUGAAAGAGGUUUCUGUUUUCUCAGCUGCAAUUAUAGUUUCUUAUUGUGAAUGGCGUGUCCGUGAUUUGCAGUGCUGUGGAUGCAAUGUGUUUCAUAAACUGGUGGACAAUCUGAAUCUUUUUCAUGAGAUGAAGUGCUACGUGAACCCGAGCUUCAAUUACAGUGAUCCAAGAGGGGAUGUGGGCUUCAAGUAUCUUGAUAUGGAUGAUGAUAAUAACAAUGACGUCUUUCCUAUCUUUUGAGGUGAAAGAAUUGCUUAUAUACUUGUACAUUUCCUAUAUCAUACUUAGAAACUGAUUUUAAUUGCAUCUGUAAAUAUAUUGUCACUAUUGGUUUACAUGGGGUGUUCAAUUAAUAAUUCAGAGUUGGAUCCUUUUUAGAUGAUUUGGGUCACCAGGUUCAUUACUUAAUACUUGGUUUAUAUCUGUUUAUAUUGGAAAUAAUGUAAGAACUUUGUCCAGCAUCCAGGUCCCUCCUAAUUUGAUGCACUCCUAUUUGUUGUGCUUUAGUUCUCAUCAUUUACAGAAAGAUCUUGAGGGGUAAGCUAUAUGGAUUAGGAAUUUAACUUUAGGUCAUGGCUAUAUGCAUUGGAGUUUUUAAUCAUUGUCUUUCUUGAAGAUAUAGAAACUAUGUGGAUUCUACUUUUGAAGCUCCUAAAGUUGCAGUUUCUAAUUCUGUGUUGCAGUUGUAGUGGGUUUUUUUCUUUUGUUAGAAAGUUGGUAUUAUUGGUACCCAAUAAACUAUAUAUUAGAUUUAGUUUCAUAGUUGGAAGUGAAAAUGAAAUUUAGAUGGAAAGAUUGAUGACCUGUUAUUGAAUAGUCUAAAGGGAACAAACCAUCUUGUAUAACAACACUUCAUUGGCUGUGCAAGAAGAACCUGUAUUAUGCUUGAUGAAAAUGUAGGGAUAAUGGAAGAGAUGAAACAUGGAAAUUGAGUAAGAUAUAAGGUAAAAAGAAGCGAGAUUGAAUUUAGGGCCUAUAAUGCUCUUUAUCAUGAGAUCUUCAGUAGUUAGAUUCAAGGACCAGUUUCUGUGUGGUUUUGUUCCUUCCAGGCAGUAGUUCAGUUCAUUCAACUUGCUGAAUCAGAAAAUAGGAUAUGUUAUUAAGUAUGAUCAAAACUGAAUGUUCAUGAAUACUUAUUUCUCCAGACAUUCAGCUUAAUCUCUGAAAUGAUUUUAGAAAAUAGUAGCUUAACCAUGAGCAUGGUAUUAUUGAGUUGAAAUAUGCAACAUAUAGCUUAGAAACCUAUUGUUAAGUGUGGCUGUUGGGGAUGUCAUUUAUGUUUGAAUGGUUAAGUUUUCUAUCUUUCUUGAGAUCCUUGACCUCAGAGGUGUAACAUUUAGUGUCCAAUAGUGCAAAAUUAGAGUUUUCUCUUUUACCAAGAGAAAAGAAAAAAAAAAAAAAAAAAAAAAAAAAGAGCAAAAAGGACAAUAAAAAAUCCAAACAGUGUUGGCUUGUCCAAAAAAUGUAUUUGUGUACCUUGCAAAGAAGUCUAAAAUAGGUGCCAUCUCUAGAAUGGGGUUAAUAAAUUUUUAACAUGUACUCACUUGUUAUACUUUCCAUAAUUUUGGGUUGUUUAUCUUGAUUUGCAGGAAAAUACUAAGAUCUAAGGUAAGGUAGGUGCUAAAUAUUUUAUUAAAGCUAAAACUUGUAGUGAUUAUUUAAGCUGACAUUUCAGUACUAAAUGUGUGUUGGAUAAACAUGAAGAUAUCACAUAAGUGGUACAUGGAUUGCCUGUUUAACACAGAUAUACAUAGACAAUUAACUGAGCAAUCUGUUCCAGAUUGAUAUUCCAAGGAUCACGAGGGCCCAUACUAACCCAUAAACAUUUUUUCAUCUUUAGAAAUGUAGAUGUGGGGCAAGUUGCUGCAAGUUUUUUUUGAUAAGUAAGCACAGAAUUCAUUCAAAGAAGGCAAAAAAGCCCCAUAGUAUACAGGACGUAUAUAAGGCAGCUAAGACCUUACAAGCAAAAAAAGACCAAAAACUCACCACCCCUUAACUGGAGGCUAACCACUCCAGGAAUCCUAUAAGGGAAUGCAAGUUGCUGCAAGUUGAUUCAAUUAAGAUGCCAUUUGGCUGAUUCUUUUUCUAGACAGACUCUAUCAACAGUUGGAAGAAGUUGUAUCCCUGGAAAUAAAAAAAGUACUUGGUGGUUUAAGAUUAAACAAUUGAACAUGAUAGAUUAGAGAUGAUUUUUUUGAAAUCAGAUUUUAGUGGUGCCUCUUUUUUUGUUUCCCAUUAAGUCCUACUUGAUGUAAGACAACCCUAGGAUAGUUGUCUACACUCAAAUAGGUGGGCUAGGGUUUUUAUUUUUUAGGAUGUAGGGAGAGAAACAAGGAAUCAAGUUUAUGGUAGAGAAAAAAAAAAAAAACCUUCUAGAAGUUUUACCUAAAAGAAAAUUAAUGGAGUUUCACUAAGGAUUGCAACACUUGUAAUAAAAAAAACAUAAUAUUAUUAACAUCAAUCAAUUCUAAAGUCUACUAGGAUUCUAAUAACUUAUUCAAACUUUGAUUCUAAUUAUCUUAUAACAAUUGACUUUAACAAAUGCUAAUCCUAACUUGACUCCAACAAAUACUAAUCCUAAUUUAAUUUCAUUAAAUACUAAUUUUAAUUUAAUUCCAAGUUAUACUAAUCUAACUCUCUAAUUGCAACUUGCAACUAAUACAAAUUCACUACAGGUGGUACUCAUUUAUCCUUGCUUCAGCCACUAAACAUUGUUGUUGAGAAUAACAUCUGUGUAAUCAUAGCUAGGAGAAAGCUUCAAUUCACUAAUUUUUAUGUUCCUGGUUGUUUUAGUGCCAAUUCUUGGAGUGUACCUACUUUGUCAUGAAAUUCUUGGUUUCAGCCUUCGUUGUUUACAAAUUUCGAUAUGUGAGGGUAGAAAAAAUACAUAAUGGUUCGACCUUUAUUGUGUGAAACAGAUGCAUGUGUAGAAAACAGAAAUUGGGUCUGUGGUGGAGGGCAGGACUUUGAGACGUGUGGUUUAGGUGGUGUAUUGAGAUGAGGGGGUAGGCGUGGUCCUUAUGUCUAAAAUAUCUUCUACAUUUCAUUAGAACUGGCUAGGAAAGCAAUGCAAAGGAAUCUUUUGAACCUCAUAAUCGUUUAAAAAAACUAGGUCUCCGAAAAUGAAUUGUUUGUUUCCUAUUAAAAUAUGAAUUUCAAGUUUUGCUGUUGGAUAUUUAAGAUCAUGCUUAUACUUGGAACGGAGUGUAAUAGAAUAUGGUUAUGGGAAAUCUAUCCCAUUUCUCGUUUUAGUACUUUCUAUGUUUGGAUGAUUUUAAAUUGCAGUCUCAUGAAGAGUUUUUUUCCUGUCAUUUUCAUUUUUAUCGUCACUUUUAUUCCUAACGCACCAAACGCAGCCCCAAGACACCUGGAGUUGUUAGCGACGAAUUUUUAUGAUAAUUUUCGGCUCGGGAAAAAAAAUGUGGCGUGAAUUUGUGUACGAAUAGGGUGAGGAGCUAAAAUGAAAAAUAUUUAUUUCCGCUUGAUGUUGUUACUCUAAUCGGUUUGGCAUUGUCUUGUUUCCCUGUCGUAUCGUUUCAAUUAUAUAUAUAAUAAUAAUGAAAAAUAUUUUUCAUAAAAAAUGAAUUAUAAAAUGUGUAAUAUUUAUUUCAAGGUUUAAGAGUUGGGGGUCGGGUCACCCUCCCACAGCCGGACGAACCCAGUAACCGCCAUCCUUAUGUAUAAACCCAACUCAGUAACCGUACCGGACAGUUCUUUAAUAUGUCUAAUUUUAGUAGAUGAUUCUAACGUUCAGGGAAAGAUCUCGCCCAUUAAGCCUUUAUGUGGUUGACCAGAAGUAACCAAUGAGAUUCUAGCAUUUAAUUGGACUUUCGCACCUUACUCCAUAAUAAUCUCGUCUGUUUCCCACUCCUCCUAUCAGAACUGCAUAAUGAUAUAAACGAACAAAAAUGACAUAAAAGAAGAAAAAACCUUCAUUUAUCUUUGGGAAUUUCCUGAAGUUAUUCUGGUUAAUUGUUUUUGCAAUAUCUCCCAAAUCUAAGUUAAACAAAAAAUAAAAAUAGUAAAAGACAUAACUGGAUGGCUAGGUAUUAGGAAUUAGGAUCAGCAUAAAUUUGUCCAAGGAAUGGCCCGAGAAUCUUGCUCGAAGGCAAAGCAUUUUUCUUCCUACGAUUACCGAGAAACGCGACGCCACUUUUUGUCUCUGUAUUGUAGAAUCAUUGUCUUCGGAUUUUUAAAUCCUUGAUGAUGUUGGAAAUUAUCUCUACUCCAUGGACUGGGGAAUUUCUUAAAGAAAAUAAUACGUGGCUUCACCUCGUGCACUCACCCCUUACUUUAUAAUUCUUUCAUAUCUUCAAGUUUAAUGAGAGAUUAAUAUCCAAUGAUUGUCUGCUUGGCACUUUCAUUAUGAUUUGAUGAAUUUGUCCACUUUUCUGUUUUAUCAUAUUUUCUUUAAUUGUAAUCCAUAGCAAGGAGGCGGAGAGGAAGUAAAAGACUCUUAGUUUCAGCAUUUGGCAUUUUGUAAGAGAGAUAUUUUGUUGUCCCUAUCUAUUUAUUUUUCUAUCCAUUUGGUCCAGUGAUACAGUUAAAUCACAAGAAAGUAUUAAUAAUAAUAAUAAUAAUAAUAAUAAUAAUUCACGAGAAAUCAAAUAUGUUUUUAUUUUGAGUUCAAUAAGAAUGUUAUAAUAUGUUUAGAUAUUUUUAUUAAAAGAAUUUAUAAAUUUAAAAGGAAAAUCUAAUAAGGUAAUGGUAUGUUUUAGCGAUUGAGUUUGAAUAGGUCUGAAAUCAAAAUAAAAUUCUCAAAUUGGAACUUCAAAUUCAAAUAAAAUUAUGGAUUAACUCUAACUUCAGUUUUUCAACUUCUUAAAGGCACAAACAAACAUAUAUCUAACAUCCCCAACUCUAAAUCACACAAUCAGAGUUGCAAAACCAAUCCUCAUUGGAAAAAUUUUCCACCUCCCACAUUCUCAACCUCACAUCAGUACAGCCAUGCCACGUCAGAGGAUAGCAUCCAAUCCAACCAAUAGCAGGCAUCCUCUGCAGAUAACCCAUUUCUCCACCCAUCCCAUCCUCCUUUAUCUCAUACAAAUACAAACCACACAAAUCAAAAAACACCACCUCACCGCAAGUCUUCGCUUUCUAUUAAAUCAUCCCCACACCCUCCUCUUCUUCUGAUUUCUUCCCUUGCAACCAGACACACUCACUCAGAGACAGUUGAAGGAAAUGGCCAUCGUCACCUCCGCCGCAGUCGCCAUCCCCUCAUUCACCGGCCUCAAGGCCUCCGGCGCAACCAUGACCCGCGCUGCCGCCACCGUCAAGACCAUCACCGCACCGGCCCCGAGGCUCGUGGCCAAGGCUGCACUGAAGGACGUGGGAGUGGCCGUCGUCGCCACCGCCGCCAGCGCUUUGCUCGCCAGCAAUGCCAUGGCCAUGGAGGUCUUGCUCGGCAGCAGCGACGGAGGCCUGGUGUUUGUGCCGUCGACCAUCACCGUCCCCGCCGGAGAGAAGAUCACGUUCAAGAACAAUGCUGGCUUCCCUCACAACGUUGUGUUCGACGAGGAUGAAGUUCCGUCCGGCGUCGACGUAUCGAAAAUCUCGAUGUCCGAAGAGGAUCUGUUGAAUGCACCUGGAGAAGUGUACUCUGUGACUUUGACCGAGAAAGGUACCUACAGUUUCUACUGUUCUCCUCACCAGGGUGCUGGUAUGGUGGGAAAGGUGACCGUUAAUUAAGUUAGUUUAUAUGAAUGACGAUGAAUUUGCAAGGAACAUCUCAUAUGUUUUCUCCUUUUGUUUUGUUUUUGGGUGUAUGGUAGCUGUUGUUUGUAAUAGAGUUUACCGAUCUGAAUGAAGGGGUGGGUUGAGAAGAUGUAUAAGGUGAGAAGUGAGCUCAUAUUAAAUGCCUUUGUGCAUUCCAAUUUCUUCGUGUAAUUGUAGUUCUGUGUGAUAAUAAACCAAGCUCAUCUUAUACACCACCUAAGAUAAGAUAUCCCCGCAACCCACAAUAACAACUUCCAAUAAAAGAAUUACAAGAGAAAUUCAAAGAAUUCAACAUUCAGUUAGUAAGAAAAUUACAAGGAAUGACAACAUCCAAAGCAACCCUGUAAGCUGUGGAUGAAUUGAUUCUAAUAAGAGCCAAUUUUAUGAAGACAGAUGGGGAGGCUUGGUGGUUAGAGCACUGGAAGGGUGGUAUAAGUUCUCUCCCUCUUUUAGUUCCAAAGAGAUUACAUGGAGAUACAAAUAUGGCAAUUAGUAGGGGUCUAUGCGGUCAUCAAAAUACAGAGAUGAAUGGAGAGGUUAUGUACUAUGUAGUUAGAGCGUUUCAAACAGAACACAUCAAAAUACAGAGAUGAACGGAGAGGUUAUGGACUAUGUAGUUAGAGCAUCUGGAAGAUUACAUCGAGUACCAAGCACCUUACCACCAAAGUCAGGAAAAGUCUCAUGUCCGGGCAAGGGUCUUACCUUCCCGUCAACAUCUACCUGGAUGGGAUAUUUAAGAAGGUGGCCUUGCAAUGGGGUGUAAGCAUCACUUGUGAACCUCUUCCAGUUCUCUUCAGCCAUCUUGUUCACAUUCUUCACACAAUCCAAGGUUUGAGGCUCCUUGAAACUAUUAUUUAUCAUCCCUAGGUGCUCUGCCCACAAGGACAUUCUGUACCCGUAUAUCUGCAAACACAUCCCAUCAGUUCUAUCAAAUUAUCUCUAAGAGUUCAAUUUUUCUAAAUCUUUGUGGCUUCGUUUUGAAUCACAUUGGGCAACAACUUCAUUUUCAUCUUUUUUUUUUAGAAGAUUGUUCUGGUUCAAUAUAAACAGGCUAAAAUGGCACCGCCAACCGGUUGGUGCUAUGUGUACAUUUUUAGAUCCUGUUUGCAACCUAAUUCCAUUUGGUUGUCCCCUUAUAACUGCUUCGUUUAUGUUCUUGUUAACCCGCCUAAAUCUUAUUAUAUAAAUUCAACGGUCUGAAUCUUUUAUUCGACAGGCAUCACUACAGUGCCUUAGUAUUUUCCUAUCAACGAACAUAUCAUGGAUGAUUAUAAGAGGGAAUUCUUAGGGAAACCAAACCAGACAAGAGAAAGUCAUAGAAGCUUCCAGAAGACUGGAAUUUUCUAAAGUAGUGUGGGCCAUUUUAGAAUUGGUCUGAAGUUUCUGGAAUAGUCUGGAAGGCUCUAGAAUACUAUGUGGAACUCUCCAGAAAGAUGUAGGUCAAGGUGGUUUUAAGGUAUUGGUCAGUUGGGCAGGGUCUAGGACAUGCGAGGAAGCAAGUACCCAAAGUUUCAAUUUAGACUAUAUAAACAAACAGCACUACUAUAAAAAAUAACUACAAACCUGGCCAUGUGGAUGUUUCUUCUUCUUGGCCCAAGUGUGGCGAGGCUGAUAUGCACCCAUAGCUAUCUCAGUGUCUCUUGAACCAGCCAUAGAUCUUUGGUUAAUAUUGGCAGACCCCAAUAUCACAUACUCAUCAUCUACUAUCAUUCCCUUGGCAUGUACAUAAAUCAUAAAUCGAUGAAACUUCUUUGAAGUGGAAACCUGAAAGAUUGGUCAUGAAAAAUUAAUUUUUCAAUUCUUAUUAAAUCAAAGAUGAAGAAUAUCAUGCUUUAAGUUUAUAUUGAGUGUUGUAGAACUUCAUGUACUUAGACUCUCCCCCAAAAUAAAUGUUUGAAGAGUUAUUUACCAGACAAACUAAAACUCAGUCUUACAGUGUAAUGGUGGGACAGAAAAGUUGUAUUGCCUACAAGAUAUAUUUUUUACAGUUGAUCAGAACGCCUCUAUUAAACUGAAGAUGCCAGUUUAUCAUCCCAUGCAAGAACAUUGAACUACAAAAGAAUUAGAUAAGCCAAAGGCAACAAAUUGACGGGGUGGCUGUUUGAUGAAACAAAGGUUAAAAAUAUACCAGGCCUGAACCAUCUUGUGUUUUUGCCUGGUGUCGCAUGAACAUAUAUGCUAUAAUCCAAGUUCCAGAUUCCUUUUUUUUUUUCAUAACCGACGUUUGUGAAUUGAUAUUGACAUACAGCAAUCCGAAAUGUUAAAACUAAGAUGUUGACUGCCAAAAGAACAGAUAAUUGAUAUUGAUGGCAGAAGGCCAGAUCAAUUCUGACACUGUGCAGUUAAAAAGCUUAUCAGAUUCCAUCUGAAAUGGGCAUGGACAUUAUCUAGACCAACUAAUAAAGUGUAAGAUGAACAGCAUCCCGGAGACAGUUAUUCCUAAAUGAAACCAUAGUUUCACAAAACUUAUGAAAAUGAAGCAACUCAGAGUUACUAAUUUUUUAUUUUAUUUUAUUUUAUUGGAAAUUAGAUGGUCUAACUAGAAGAAAAUGAGUUUGAAAUUGUAUAAUUACCCCGUCAGAGGCUUGUGUGUUUGAACUUGACACUUCUUUGGGUGGUUCUUCCCGAUUACCAAGACAGUAGAAAUUGAGGUAGUCUUGUGGGUGUGCAUCCUCAAGUUGCAUGGAUUGCAGCUCUUGUGCUAUAAUAUCAUACAUCAUUUGCAUUGUUUGCCCCUGCAGAAGCAAAAUCCCAAUCAAUAUCAAAUAGUAUGCCAAUAAUGUUGCCGGAUGUGUGUCUCACAUAAAUCAUGUAGUACGGGUAGAACUGGUUCAAUGUUUAGAACAAACUACGCCAAGUUAUGAUUAAUAGGGGCAAAAUGUCUAAUAAAGAGCUUUUAUCACAAAUAUUUAAAGAACAUUGGCUCUGAUGUAGAAGCGAAUUCACAACAUUAGAAUGUAUAUACCAUGGCUAUACAUGGCACAAUGAUGUUUACUCAGAAAUCUGAAAUAGAGUUUCAAAAAUUAAUGCAGCAAGAAUGCAACUCCAUUUUGCUUCUUAUAAGAUCACUCAUUAAUAAUUAAAAAGGGCCAACCACUAGCUGGAAAUCGCAAGUUUUAAAAAGCAUAUAAUGAAAAGACACCUGACAAAAAGAGGUCCAAACCAAGUAUAUCCAUGAAGUAGGAUGCAUGAAACAAAUAGAUGAAACUCAAAAUACUCAGUGGUCUAAACAUAUCCCAAAACAUCAAUAAAAUCUAAAAAGGAAAGAUUGACAUGCCCUACCAAAUAUUUUGCCCAAGAGAACAAAGAUCUAAAGAAAUGAUUAUUACCUGGAAGCUGAAGCUUUAUAGUUUAUACUUUAUAGUGAUGUAGUGAUAUAUUGUUUAUAAUAUUACUGAUCAAUCUAAUUUGCUGUAUCAUAAUCAUCAGUUUUCAUGUUGAUCCUGAUGAUUGGGGUUGGAGUUUCCAGCCCACCAAAAAUCACGUCUUCAAUUAAAACAUGAGAUUUGGUACUUUGCUUCUCUAUCAGCCUUCUCCACCUUACAGAACACUCACCUUGCACUAACUAACCUCUUAUCAUCUUCAUUGGAAACAAAUACAUCAAGAAUUUGUGUUAACUUACCUGCCAAAACAAAAUUUCUUGCACAGAGGCACAGGAGGGGUUGCCCUCAGGCCACAUUGGUAUGACAACAUAAACUGAAAAUCUCUCCUUUGCUCUUAUCUUACUAGCAAUCUUUAGUGCCAACUCCAUCGGAAUCAGAUUAUCAGCUCCUGAUCAUACCAAAAACAGCUUAUUUGAGGAAAAAGUUAUUGAAAGAAUGCUUAAAAGUAAAAAGCAAUAUGUAUAGGUAUAUAUAGUCAUACAUAUAAUCAUGACGGCUAACUAAACAUACACAACAUGUGGUAAAGUUUUGAAAAGAGUAGAUGCAAGAUUCAUGAUUUUGAAUGGAAACAUAGUGGUCGCAUGUAGUUUGUGGAAAAUAGGUAUAGACUGUAAAAGCAACAAAGCUACUAAAAAAUAUAAGAAGAAUUUGUGGGAUCCUGUCCUAGUGGUAUAAAAUGAAUAUCUUCGGAUGUAGAAGCUGUAUAUGCUCAGAGUCAUUACAAAGGAGGUCUUCUAGGUUGAGCAACAGAGAUACCAUGCACAAAGUAAGCAUAUUAUGCAAGUAGUUACUAUAGAAGUUUGAACCUGCGUUUUUAUAAGAUGGCCACGCAUAAGAAGAUCCAAUAAAAUACUGAUUCUCAAUAUAGAUGAAGUGUUGGGCAGAUCUGAUUGCCUGGAUGUAUGCUGUUUGAAUGCUCUUGUCUAUCACCAAGUUUUUUGCACAGACUAGGUUCUGCAUUAAAAGAGGAUAUCAUAUAGUUUGCCAAUUACCGCGACAGAGAAAUACAAAGAUUUGAUAAGAUUGAUGUACAUCUUAAUUAUAAGAGUAAUAUGUCCCUAGUCUUGUAUAAAUUGAAUUUUUCACUUGCUUAUUUUAUAAAUAAUAUAUAUAGAUACCUGAGCCUCAGCUGAAGGAACAUCUUUGGGAAAUCCUCUCAAAGAUCCUGAAUCUAUAGAUCUAAAGACCUGCAAUGUCAAAUAACAAUCUAAGAUUUAGUAACAUCAACAAAGGAUCAAAUUAUGGAAUGCUUUGGCUAGAAGUGCAUACAGAUUAACCUGAACAUGCCAAUUUUCAGGAUCAUUUUCUUCAGAAACCCAUAAGCUAGGAUCAUCAUAUGGAACAGAUGGGGAAGGGCUAAGUAUCCAUGAGAUGCGCUCUAACUUGAUUAAGGCAUCUUCAUGCCAAUGAGUUAUCCUUUUGAAACGUCGCCCAAACUCUGACCAUUUUGUGGCUUUUCGCCAACGCUGCUCAAAGUUUGUAAGCACGUCAUAUGCAGCAGGCCCCUCAAUUUUGCAAUGCAAAUCGUGCCAUGGUUGCCUUGGACCCUUACUUACUGCCUAUUAUCACAAAGAAAAUGAGAAGAAUAUUCAUUCACAAAAAUUAAAGAACAUGUUGUAUCAGUUCAAGAGACUAAACAGAACAUUUGCAACAAAUGUCAUUGUAUGCACUUCUAUAAUGAGAAAUCAUGCUAUUCCAUGCUAUUAUGGUAUUGUUGACAUCUAAAAUAUAAAAAAUUC
rnacentral:lncRNA from 1 species